AGGCUUUUCAAAGGUUCCAGAACUUGAAUCUCUAUUAGUUGUUCACAAUAAGAGACUUCCAAUUCUGAUAACUUCUCCCAAUAUGAAAAAUUUAUUGACUUUUCCAUUAACCCACGCCCAUCCAAAUGGAAGUAUGACAAAUUCUGAGGAAGCUUAGGUAGGCAUUUUAGAUUAUUUGCAAGGAGUUUAAGCUUCCUGAGCUUCGAAAGGAGAUUAAAAUCUAAAGGUAGGGUGACCAAAUAAUCACAAUACAACCCCAAGGACUCUAGCUUUCUUAACCCUCCGAUCCAAUUGAGGCUUGGAGUUGGACGGGAAGGGCUCUGAUACUCUAAUUUCAACAUCAAAACUCUCAAAUUUAUUAGGUUCGAGAGAUCCGGGCGUCUCAUCUGUAGAUUAUUGGUUAGGACUAGUUCGGUCAAACUUUCAGGAAGCUUAGGUAUAUUGGAAAUUCUCGUGCCUGAUAACGUCAAGAUUCUUAGAAAUGAUAGUUUUCCGAUCUCACUUGGAAUUUCCCCACUCAAAUAUCUACAACUGCUGGCAUGGAUCUUUUCAAGCUUCUCCAAUGAUAGUCUUCCAAUCUCACUUGGAUUUUCCCCACUCAAACAUCCAUAACUGCUGGCAUAGAACUCUUCAAGCCUCUCCAACUUCCCAAGGGCGCUAGGUAGCUUUUCUAACAUGGAGUCAAAGAUCCUUAGUAUUCUCAAGUUCUUCAUCGUCUCUAUUGAGUCGGGUAACUCUCGUAUGCUUGAACAAGAAAGAUCUAACUCGACGAGAGAUCCAAAAUUUCCAAGUGGAAGUUCACUCAGUAAGCGACAUGACGCUGCACUGAGAGUUUCCAAUUUCUCCAUUCCGUUCCAUUCAGGAAUUUUGGUAACAGAUGUCCCAUCAAGAAGAAGUUCUCUCAAGUCUUCCAUUUCUUCCAUCUCGUCUGGCAAUGUCUGAAGUUUCCCACAAUAUUUCAAGUUUAAUAACACUAAAUGCUUUAACCUACCGAUAGACCCAUGGACUUCAACCAGUUCCAUGCACCCUUGAAGAAUCAGUUGCUCUAAAUUUUCAUGAGCAGAAAGGUCAGGAGUUCUAUGCAAGUUUCCACAUCCAGUCAAAUUUAGAACCUUCAAAUUCUUUGUCAUCUGUAAUGAAGAGAAGAGGUUGAUUCUGAAUAAAUUUUGAGAUACUGGACAGCAAAGUCAAUAUAGCAAAUUCAUGUCGAAAUAAUACCGUACCUUGAGGUGGUUCCAUCCCUCCCACUCAUCAGUAAUUUCACUCCUUGAUAGAUCAAGAAUCAUUAGCUUCUUAAGACAAAUUGUGAUGAAUUUGAAAUAGACAGGAAAGUUAUGCCAUGAGAGCAUUAACAAAUUAGGAAGCAUGAUCAGAUUCCUCUGGCACAAGUUAGUAGAAGGAAAAUGCUGACCGUUGCUCUCAUCCAAGUCUACACAAUCCACUUGAAGAAAUCUUAAUUUUGAUAGGCUUAUAGAUUCUUCCUUCUCAAUGAAGUCUUGAAAUUGACGAUCAAACCUUAGACAUAUUGCUUCAACGUUUUCUCUUCCCUGCCAAAAAAGAAAAAAAAAAAAAAACAUCAAACAAAAGCUAGUGAUCCCAUAAUUGCCUAUUGAAGGCAUUCGUGUUGAAUAUACUUGAUAAUGUACUUCUUACAUAUAAUUAAAAAUUAAUUUGCAAUAUAAUUUAUAGAUGAGCAUGUGAUCAUACUAAGCACACAAGUAAUGACUCGGUUUAGAUAGAAGCAAAUAAGCAAAUUCAAUGUGUAUAACUCGUCUCUUUGAAUAGGAACAACAUUGAAAAUACUUUACCUCCUUUAUUUCAAGGACAUCUAUCAAUUCCUCAUGAUCCCACACCCGACUUUGCUUCUCUAGCUUAAAAUGAGCUCUUUGACGAACAAUGUCUCGCCCAAGGUCUCUUAGCUGAUCAUGCACCCACAGUCGGUUACCUUGGACAAUCUUCAUUAACGAUUUCCGUUUGAGGACUUCAAGAGAAUAUUUAGGGAAAAGCUUAUGGCUGGCCCACAUGUAAGUCACAAUUCUCACAUCAAACCCAACAUAGAAGCAACAAAUAUCAAGAAAUAUUUCCUUCUCUUAAGGUUCUAAUGCCUCAAAACUGAUGUUUAGCUUCCUUUUAACCUCUGUAGAGGGAAUAGCUUUCAACCUUUCUAAUGUGACCACCCAAAACUCUCUGUCUUUUCCAGCUAAAAAUGAACCUAUUAUCUCUAGAGCCAAAGGAAGAUGACCGCAGAUUUCUAACGCUUUUUUCGAGAGGGAAACGUAUUCUGCUGGGGGACGAUCUCUUCUAAAGGCAUGUUUGCUAAACAGUAGAAGAGAAUGAUUGAAAUCCAUUUCAGUAAGUUCGUACUUAAAAUCAACAUCUUUGAGAACUUCCUUGUUUCUUGUGGUAAUAAUAACCUUACUUCCUCUGCUGUACCAGCAUUCACCUAUCCCUACAAGAGUGUUUAGCUGAGUGUUUUGGUCGACAUCAUCAAGCACAAGUAAAACCUUUUUAGAGGAUAACCUCUCCCUGAUCUCAGUAAUCCCUUCAUUAAUACUAUUGAUGGAUGGCCAUUCCAUUCUUAGGACUUUAGAGAGAAGCUGAUUCUGCAAAAUCACAAUCUUUGUCUCUCGAAUGUUAGACAGGAAGCAACAGUUAUCAAAAUCAGCCGACAGUUUAUUAUAGACGAUAGUGGCAAGAGUUGUCUUUCUGACACCACCCAUACCAUGGAUGCCAACAAUCUUUGUUCCAGUGGCCUGUGUACCCAUCUUUUCCAUGAUUUUGUCCACAUAAUCGAGUUUUGUUCCAGCGGUUUGUGUACCUAUCUUUUCCAUGAUUUUGUCCACAUGAUCGUCCAUUUCAACCAAGUAAUAAGGUUCUGCCAAGUUGUUCUUUUUUAACUUGAUCAACAGCGUCCGAACAACUUCUUCUGUGAACUCCCCUUUGCCUCUAACAAUAGUGAAGGCAAAAGGACCAAACUGUUAAAUUGAGAUGAACAGAAUAAUACCAAGCUACAAACAAUCAUGAACAAUAAUAAAUUCAAAUACCUCUCCUUGAGUUCCCAUCCUCUUAAAUCUCCAACCUUGCUGAGAGCUGUCUUCCACUUCUCAAUAGUCUCAUUAGUGAACCGCUUCUUAUUUUUGUGUGAAGUAAUGGCCUCACCGUAACUUCCAGUUUGGUAACGAACCUCAGCUGGUGUUAUGUCAUAGAAAAUUGGCAUGAUCUUUUGUCCCCACUUUUCCUUGCACUCCACCAUGUGGACCAACUCCAUGAGGCACGAUGGACUGGCAGCAUAUCCUUUAGAUAAGAUAGGAAUCGAGAUUUCCGACUGCUCAAUUGCUCGGCGAAGCUCCGGAUCAAUCUCUUCCCCAAUGGGAAGCUCUUCAUUAUCUCUAUAUGCUCGUAUUCCGGCACGAAUGAGGCUGUUGUAAAGGUAAUCAACGAUGUCACGGCGAGUGUCUGGUCCUCUGAAACUCAAGAAUGCUUCAUAAACAAAUUCCGUUGGCUUCUCCGUUUCCUGAAUUCUCAGAGGACUCGCAAUGACCUGACAAUAUUCCAUGUGAAAAACGUUUACUAUGAAAGCAGGGUGAUAAUUAUCACCAUUUCUCUCAGAAACUCUUCUGUUUUAAGUCUUUCUAGGAAGAAAACCAAGAUGACAAAUGCACGAGCUCCUUCGUGGCCUUGCACUACACACCAAAAUAUGACUGAAUAUUUUAAAAUAAUAUAGUAGAGAAGUGGACCCAUCUCAAUUCUAAAGGAAGAAAUUUUCAAAGUAUUGUGGAAUUAUGGGUUAUAGUUCACACUUGAAAUUGAUUUGAGAGAAUAAUAUUUUUUGAGAAGAUAAAUCACUAUCAACCUAUAUUAGUCCGCACAUCAUGCCUGCUUCCGCUUGUAGAUUGACUAAUUAUUUUAUUGUUUGAUAAGAAAUUAUAAUGAAACAUUCCUCUUUUAUUUUACCAAAAUAGAUUUGACAGACAUACCGCGACCCUCAAUUAGUGCUCCCUUGGCCUUAACGGACGCAAGCGAAGAAUCGCCCCCAAUGAAGAUCUCUAAUUGGAAAAGUGAAAUCAAGACAUUGCACCGGAGCUAAUUCAACCCUCUCCGUUGGACCAGUUUCUAGAAAGCAUUAACCGAUCUCCAAUUGCAGUCAAAUCUUAGUUUAUUAACAUACCGGCACAGGGUCAAAGGCGAGCAUUAGAAGCUAACGUUCGCAUUUGCCAGAAAGUAUCAGCAUAUCAGAAAAAGAGGGGUGAAUUACUAACCAAUAAUGUAGUUGAUGAAAUUUCAGCAGAAAAAAGAAGCAUGAACGCUAUAAUUGUUUUUCCAGAAAAUAAGUUUGAACACACAGGAGCGCAGGAACGAGAACUGUACUUUACAGAAGCGGAGACUUCCAGUGGACCACAGAGUGCUACGUUAUAGUCCUAUUCAUUUCGUCUCUACUGUUGAAUACAGUGUUAAGGGUAUCUAUUUUCUGCGUAGGAGCGUUCUUACUGCUAAUCACUAGACAAUAAUGUACGAAUUUGUCAUAUUGAAGUCUCUUAAAGAUACCACUAUCACCGUUCGCACAAAAUAGCUUUUAGCGCCAGCAAUCCACGCGAAAACUCAGAGAGACAGAGAGAGAGGGAGAGAGUAUACCCGGGUGGCGAGCUCGUAAGACUGAGCGUUGUCGAUGAUGGAACCGGACUUGCCUCCGCCUUCGCCGCCCUCCCUCCUCUUCUUCUUGCCGCUCCUCUUCUUUGGCUCGUCGUCGCGAGGGCCGCCGCCGGCGCCGCCGAGGAGCUCACUCCGAGGCUCGACACCGCUCGUCUCCGCUUCAGCUUCGUGCGGUCUCUUCUUCUUCGCCAUUCCCGCUCUCCGAUAUCAGAAAGUUUUGAUCUUUCGACACGGUAAGAGGUCGACUGGUGAAGGGAUUAGGCGUCGAUGUUGGUGGUGGUGGUGGUAUUGCGUUUCAGGAUCUGAGGCCUGACAGUUGCAUAGAUGGAAGUGGGUGGGCAGGGUUUUAGCAUGUGACUCGUGAGUUAGAGGCUAAAGCUAUUAGUGUUAGACGCAGCUGGCAGUGGUCAAUCAUGGAGUCAACUAUUAGUUGUUAGACGCAGCUGGCAGUGAUCAAUCAUGGAGUCAACUAAGGAAAAAAUUGGAUGCUGAUCUGAGAGUCCCUCUAUUGUUUCCAUCAAAUUCUGCAUCUAGUUGCAUCACAGAACUGACCCAAUUCAUUAAAAAUAAGGCAAUAAGCGAGAGGAAAUUACCGGAGAUGAAGGGGGUGAAGAUGAAUAGUCCGGAUCAAAUGCUGAGAAGCAGAUGAAGAUCCCAGGAAUAAACGUUCUUGGCUUUUGAGUUCAGCUGAAGAAAGACGAGACUUAUAUAAGACGGUGAAUUCACCCUCCUUCGCCGUGCCCUUCCAGGAAAGUGAGGACUUACUAGUUGCAGGGAAACUUCGGCCCGACCGUGAAAAUGUGAAUACGCGUUUUGCUCUUGACUUUCGAGUAAACGAGUUGAGUUACUGGGAAAUUUCUCGAAGUCCGGAAACCUUUUGGUACGAAGGGCGAGAGUACAAGAGGAUUUUCAUUGCAUGUUAUUAGUUUAAAAAUCAUACAAUUUAUAUUAAUUGAUGUUCUUUUAACGACGAUGAAGGUGAAUCCUAGGCCCAUUCAAAUUUUAUAUAUAUUAAACCAAAAAAUGUAGAGUCCAUGUAUUCUACAUAUGUCAGAGUUACACACAAUGGGUUCAAAAAACAAAAAGAAAUUAGAAAAAAUAGCGUCACUAAUGUGAUAACUUCCUCACAAUACUUACUUAAAUUUAUUACUUUUUUGAGAUUGAUUAAGUAAUAUAAUUUUCAUUUGACGUUCAUCUAAAUACCAUAAUUAAUUUUUUAGUCACUUGUGCCAUGACUCGUCAAAUCGUGAGGACCGCUGGUCUACCACUGUCCUUCUAGGUUCUCCACUUUUGACGCUUCCUCUUUUCUCCAAAUUUUUACUUUAUUCUUUUUAAUUUUUUCUUAAAAUCUGCUGACCUAGCAGCUAUAUCAAUGCCUCCAUCUUCAAGGAAAAAUAAUCAUGAUCAUUUUUCCUAUUAACUGAAUCAGAUGGAGUUAAUAGCAGGACUUAACCGCACUAAUUUAAUGAAUUUUAAAAUUUGAUUACACUUUUUAAAAAAUUUAAAAUUUGAAGGCACUUUUGCAACAUAUUUUAAGAUUUAUGGAGCAUUUAUCCCCUCUUAUGAGAUAAUAACACAAAUGAUCUUUAAACUUUGAUUUAAUAUGUAAUGUUAUCCUUAGAAUUUUAAUUUGUUCAAUGGGAUAUUUAAAAUAUUGAUAGGUGUUCAAUUUAGUCUUUAGAUUGAAUGCAUUAUUUCCAUAUAGUUUAGCAACUAUAUUGGAUAUUUGUUAAUAGUUCAUGGAUCACAUUAAAUAAAUUAAAAAAAUUUAAAAUGACAUAACAUAUUUUGCCAAAUUUCAAGGAUCACAUAAAAUAAAUUCCAAAUUCAGAGACAACAUUAGAUAUUGGACAAAAUAUAAGGAUUAUUUAUGUCUUUUUUUUUUCAUUUUUUAAAUCUAAAACUCCAUAAACUUAAGGAUAGACAAAUAAUUUACAUAUAAUUUUUUGAUAAUUUUCCGAGAUUUGAACAAUAAUUUAAAUUUUGACAAAAAAGUAAAAGAACUAUUAUUUAAGUCCAAGCAAAGAGGCAUUAGAUCAAUUAAUUUUCGCCAUUUCUUUACAGUGUCACUUCGCGUGGGCACCAUUUUCAUGGGAGAGACGAUUGCUGCGUUGACGCCCAGGAAAGUGAGGACCCGCUGGUUGCAGGGAAACUUCAAGCCAACCGUGAAAAACGGAAUACGUGUUUUGCUUUCGACUUUUGGGGAAAUGGAGUUGAGUUUCUGGGAAAUUUCUCAAAGUCCAAAGAUUCUUCGGCACGAAAGGCAGGAGUACGAGAGAUUUUCAUGGGUGUUAUUUGAUUAGAAAUCAUUCGAUUUAUGCUAAUUGAUAUUCUUUUAAUGACGAUAAAACCCUAAUUUUGUAGGUGAAACCCAAGCCCAUUCAAAUUUUACAUAUACUAAACCCAAAAAUGUAGAAUUCAUAUAUUUUAGUUAAGGGAAAAUGCCACAAAAAAUCCCAAACUUUAUUAACCGUGACAUAAUUACUCCACCAAGAACAUUUUCGUCUUAUCUUUUCUAUUCUUGCUUUUUCUUUUUCUUUUUUUCCUUUUUCUCUCUCUAUCUUCUCGCCGCCAAGAGAAGAAGAAGAAAAAAAGAAUUUUUUUUUUUAUAAAAAAAAUAACGAAAAUAUUCAAUAAUUUAGAGUAAAUGUGUCACACAAAUACAAGUUCAUGAAUUUUUGUGUCACAAAAAAAUUUGAGGUAAAUAUGUCACGGUUAGCAAAGUUUGGAGUUUUUCAUGUCACAACAAAAAGUUUUUGAUAAAUUUGUCACUUUAGGCAAAAUUUGGGAUUUUUGAUGGUUUUUGAGUUUGUAAGACAAAAAGGUUAGGAAAAAUAACACCAUAAAUGCCAUAACUUUUGUACAACACUCACUUAAGUACUAUAACUUCUUCUUUUUUGGAUUAUUUGAGUGAUAUAACUUUUGUUGGGCACUACUUAAAUGUCAUAACCUUUUUUUUCGAUCACUUGUUCCAUAACUUUUUAAAAUCAUUCACCAAGUGUUGAAAAUUUGACUUGAUAUAAUAUGCUUGAUGAACAUUUUUAAAAGUCAUAGCACUUAAGUAAAGUUAUGACACUCAAGUAGAUUUUCUUUAAAGGUUACAUCACAUAAAUAAUUGGGGAAAAAAAUUAUGGCAGUAAAGUAAAUGUCUUACGAAAAUAAUGACAUAUAGGGUAUUUUAUUUGUCAAAAGUUGCAUUCAGUCAUAUAGGAACAAAGCUCCAAAAAUAUUAUAAUACUAGUGAAAGCUUACCAACUAUAGAUGGUUUGAACAUGACUUUCAAGACCAGGGACAUCAAUAUGUGCAACCAUAGUAGUGUGUUUGGUUAGCAUUUAGCAAGUUGGGUAGCCACCUAACCGUUGUGUACUUGGAAUAUUUGGGGUGAAAUGGUAAUGUCCAUAUCACCACUGGAAGGCAAGGCAUCGAGAAACUUAUUUUUUACCAAGGAAAAUUUUAAGAGAAACUCAAUUAUCUUAUAGUCCAAAAAUUGGAAAUUACGAAAUUAUAAGUAAAUCAUUAACUACAAAAUGCAACUUAACUUAUAUUUAUAAAUUAUUUAUGAUUAAACAUAGAAUUAAUAAUAUGUUGAUAUGCAUCGAUGAUGAUUGAUCAACAAAAGAAUUAUUCCAUUGUUUUUAAACAAUGACUGGUAAAUUAAUUUAAAUUACUAUCAUGAUAAUGUACUAUGGAUAUCUAAAUCUAAAGGAAAUGCAAUCAUACUGUAAAAUCUAUGUUAAAUAUUGUUAUUUUUAUUGCAUUUUAUUCUCAAUUUGGUUUUCAUAAAAGUUGACGUGGCAUUUUUCAUUUGUGUUUAUUUUAAGAGAGGCGCUUAUGAGGAUGCUAAUGCCAAAUGUUCAAUUUUCUAAUCAAGAUAUGAAAAAUUGUUUGAAAAUUUUGGAGAAAUAAAGAUCUUAAAAAAAGGAUAGAAAAAUCAGACAAGAAAUCAUUCUUAAGAGGUGCAAAAGUCUCCAUCAAGUAGCUUGGAACAUCAUUUAUUUAAAAAUUAAAAAAAAAAGCUCCAAACAGUGUUCAUGACGGUGGAGAUUGCAUUUGUUGUUGCAUGAAUUCAUCCUACCAUAAUCAAAUUUAAUUCGUGAAAUUUAAUCUGCUUUUGGUUUCGUGUGAAAUUUAUUUGCCCACGUCAUUGACGAAGCUCUUGAAGAAGCAUGGGAAGGUGGUAGAGAGGGCCAAGUUGGCUUUGCCGAAGUCCGGCGAGGAACGUUGGCCAACCACCGUCCUUCUUGGUUCUCCACUGUUUGACUCUUUCUCUUUCUUCCAAAUAUUUUUUUUUCCAGGAUUUUAUUUCUAGAAAUCCUGGAAUCAAUUUUUUUCCCUUUUUCUUACAUUUUUUCUUAAAUUUUGCUGACAUGGCAGACAUUUCAAUGCCUCUAUCUUCAGAAAAAAAAAAUCAUGUUAUUUUCUCCCAUUAGGUGAAUUGGACAGAGUUAAUAGCAAGAUUUGAUUACGCAAAUUUAAUAAGUUUUAAAAUUUAAUUGCCCUUUUUGAAAAUUAUAGAAUAUGAUUGCACCUUUACAAUGUACUUUAAGACUUAUGUUUAUCUCCCCUUAAGAGAUAAUAACACAAAUGAUCAUUGAACUUGACUCAAUAUGUAAUAUUAUUCCUAAAUUUUUAAUUUGUUUGAUGUGAUCUCAAAAUUAUUUAUAUUUGUUCAAUUUAAUUUUUAGACUAAAUUUGCCAUUUCCAUAUAAUUUAAAAAUUAGAUUGAACCAUAUUAAUAGUUCAUGACUGCAUUAUAUAAAUUAGAGCUUAAAAACAAUAUAACAUAUUUGGACAAAGUUCAUCAAAUUAAACGACUUAAAAAUUUGGGGGUUAUUUAUGUCAUUUUUUCCAUUUUUUUAAAUCAAAAACUCUAGAAACUUAAGCACGACACAUAGAUUCACAUAUAAUCUUUUGAUAAUUUUUUGAAAUUUGAACAAUAAUAUAAAAUAUAACAAAAAAGUAAAAAAAAAAAAAAACUAUUUUUCACUUUUUUUUUAUAACUCCAGACCAGCAUUAAAUCAAUUACUUUUCGCCAUUUCUUUACAAUGUCCCUUCGCGUGCCGGAUGUUAUAAGAGUAAUAAGAUGCAGAGGACACCUUUUUCACGGGAGAGACGACUGAUGCAUUGCCAUGUUCUUCAGCGAUAUCCUCCCAACCAUCCAUCACUAUGUCUCUCUCCUCGCAAGAUGCGUCUCCAAGAAACACCUGAAGCUCGGCAUGACCGUCCACUCCCACCUCAUCAAGACCGCACUCGCCAGCGACUCUUUCCUCGUCAACCAUCUCAUUGGCAUGUACUCCAGAUGCUCUUCCAUCCCAAGCGCCCACAAGGUUUUUGAUGAUCUUGAUAUAAAGAACAGUUACUCUUGGAACACCAUCAUAUCUGCAUAUGCCCGGAUAGGCGAUUUCAAUAAAGCACUCGUCUUGUUCGAUGAAAUGCCGCAGAGGGCUCUUGUCUCUUAUAAUUCCUUGAUUUCUGGGUUGUCCCGUCAUGGGUUUUAUGUGGAGUCUCUGAGCGUCUUCAUGCAUAUGCAACAAGAAUAUGAUUGGCUAUUCAUGGAUGAGUUUACUUUUGUGGGUGUUGUGGGUGCCUGUGCUCACUUGGGUGCAUUUAAGUUCUUGCGCCAAGUUCAUGGAGUGGCCAUCGUAAUGGGCUUGGAAUUUGCUAAGAUAACUUACAAUUCCCUGAUUGAUGCUUAUGGUAAAUGUGGUGGAGUCGAUAUAUGCCGUGUCUUGUUCGACGUUAUGCCUGAAAAGGAUGUCGUGUCGUGGACUUCCAUGGUUGUUGCUUAUACGCGAGCUCAUAACAUAGGUGAUGCUUGUGCAAUAUUCAACAGUAUGCCAGCGAAGAACACAGUCUCUUGGACUGCACUGAUCUCAGGCCUUGUGCAGAAUGGCCGUGGUGAUGAAGCUUUGGACCUUUUUGUUCAAAUGCAUGAGGAAGGAAUACAGCCAAGUCCUCAUACUUUUGUCAGUGUUCUAUGUGCCUGUGCUGAUCGAGCACUUGCUGAAAGAGGCAAACAGAUCCAUGGUUGCAUCGUUAGGACCUGCUUUAAUGGAGAUUUGGAGAACAUAUUCAUAUGGAAUGCUCUAAUUGACAUGUAUUGCAAGUGUGGUGACAUGAGAUCAGCUAAGAUCUUAUUCUUGAGGAUGCCAAAAAGGGAUAUUGUUUCAUGGAAUUCGAUGAUAACUGGGUUCGCACAAAAUGGGCUGGGGCAUGAGUCACUUGUUUUUCUCAGGACCAUGCUAGAGACAAAUGCAAGACCCAACCAUGUCACGUUUCUUGGCGCUCUAUCUGCUUGCAGCCACACAGGUCUAGAUAUUGAAGCGCUUCAGAUUUUCAAUGCAAUGGAAAAGGAUUACAGCCUUCAACCCAGAUUAGAUCACUAUGCUAUUUUGGUCGAUCUGCUCGGGAGGAAAAACAGACUUGAGGAAGCCAUGGAGUUAAUAGAGAUUGUCUCAAACAAAUCAAACCAUGUUGGAAUGUGGGGUGCACUUUUAGGUGCAUGCAAAGUCCAUGGUAAUCUAGUUAUUGCCCGAAAAGCUGUGGAUGCUCUACUGAAUUUGGAACCCCAAAAUGCUGCGAGAUAUGUCAUGAUAUCAAGCAUAUAUGCUGCAACUAACAGAUGGGAUGAUUCCUGCAGAGUAAGGAAGCAGAUGGAGGAGAGAGCUUUAACAAAAGAUGUGGCAAACAGUUGGAUUGAGGUAAAGAAUGAAAUGCACAAAUUUCCAGCAAAGGACCAAUUCCACUAUCAGAUGGGAGACUUAUACGAAGUGCUCGGGAAACUAGCAUAUCAUAUGAAGGAAUCUGGAUAUGUUCCUGAGCCCAACUUAAGACUCAUCUUAGCUAAUUAUGAUGAUGAUGGUGGGUAAUGAAUACAAAAAGGGUUCAGACGGAAGAUGCUGGAGAAAAAAUAGAAGGCUACAACUGCAAGGUGAUAGUUCUCGUACUAAUGAACAAUUCAUACCUUCCUGGAGAACAUCAAGUCAAAGAUACCAUGAAGUUUCAGGAAGGACUUAUGGUCCACAGAAAAUCGGGCAUCAUGAAAGCCUCUCGUUGUACCUGGAGGUUUUGCGUGAGGUAGGUGGAGAUUGCUCAGAUGCUAUCUGGUAAUGGCAUUCUGUGUACAUAUUUUCGGAUUCUGACCUCAUUGUGUCUGGAACAAUGGAAAGCGUCUACCUUGCCAUUAUUGGUUCUUUUGGAUGCUGCCUGACCGGAUCAAAUUUUUCUCUUGGGUUAUGUCCAUAUCCCUUUGAGGGAAUAGAUAGUACUGCAAAAUUUUUCUCUCAGGUUAAACAUGAUGUCCCUGACCAUGGCGUGACCUGGAACAUCUCUCAGAACUAUAUACAGCUUGAAGCUCCAUACUAGUCAUUGUCCCGUGAUUUCUUGUCAGGCUUAUGCUUCCGCAACAACCAGUUUACAGCUGACAAUUUUCCAUGAAGUGUUGAUGAAAGGUCUAACUACUACAAAUCUGGGAUGGAGUUCCAUUCUUUGUUUUCUUCUCAAUGAGUGUUUAUUGUUCUUCAGGAAUUCAGGAAAGUAUGUGCAUGGUCAAAUAGAGGUUAUUGGCUAUGAUUUUUUUAGUUGUGGCUGAUGGUUUCAUUAUUGUCCUAUGGGAUCGCUUAGGAGCGACCUGUAUUUGUUUGUGGUGCUGGUCUGCUCCCAACAGUAGAAAUUACCUCAGGAUUUGACUGUACACGUACAACUCAUGGUAUUUUCUUCUACAUCUUGACAUAACUACAUCAAGAAACCAGAGUGGAUUUUUUAAAUCAUGCUAAGGACAGAUGUAUUUGUUGACAGAAGGUGUAAAAUAUUUUGCAUGCAAGGCACUGUGCGAGCGUCAUUGCAUCAGUUGAUUGAGGCAAUUGGAAUUGCCGUCUGUAAUGCAGUUGUUCCAACAUCCCUGAUUAUUUUUGGCCCCUACUUAUGCCAUGCUUCAGUUUCUUCCUUUGCAUCCGAACUACUUUUUCUGUUUUGACAAUUGAGUACUCUCUUUCCGAUGGAAGAAACAAACAGCUGUAGAGGUGACGAUUCUCUUAGGGUAAUCUCCUAGCAAUGUGAAAUAAUAGAAUUUACUAGCACAUCUGGGAAAUUACCAUCAUCCACUGAAAACUACAAAUGUAAGAUAAAAUAUCAUUGGCUUUAGCUCAUGGAUUUGUGGAAUUUUUCGCUAUAAGAUAUAUACAUGUAUAUAAUAUUUUUUGGUUGGAAGAAUCCCAGGACAACACUUAUUCUCUGCAAGGUCAAUCCUUAAUUUUCUAAGCAAGGGAUGGAUGGAGCACUCGAGUACUGUGAAUUUUGUAUACGAAUCUAAGAAGAUUAUCAAGUUAAAUUAGUCUUCGCAAGAAUGAGCUAGAUUUUUAUAGGUGAUAUGUCUCUUUCAAAUGUUUGUGGUCUAGACAAUUUCCUUAUUAAAAGAUCCUGUGGAUGUCUUAGUAAUCUUGGGUUUCAGUUUCAAAAUUCAAACAACUACAUCUUUCAUGACCGUCCGCAACCACUUGAUCUUGCUAUUUAUAUGUACUUUAUUCUAAUGUGCACAAUAUACAACCAUAAUGGUGCCUCUGGUUAUAGAUUCGAAAUGAGUCUGCAAUACGGUAACUAAUAGUAAUGCUAUAAGUUACUAUUUUACUUGGUUUGUUACUAGAAUAAUAAAGGUAUGAUAACGUCCAAAUUGCUUCAUCAUCGUACCUAACUAUUUUACUUGGUGUGUUACUAGAAUAAUAAAGGAAUGGUAACGUCCAAAUUGCUCCAUCAUCGUACCUAUUCUUUCUCCCUCUGCCAAGACCGCCACCAUGGCUAGUGAUUGCUCCUCAUGAGGGGUUGCCGCCUUGUAGGCAGUGGGUUGCUAGCGGGGUUGGUGGUGGUGGGCCAAUACCGGUAAGCCAGCAUGGGGCGAUGGUGGCCGUUAAUGUUGAGCAGCAAUGGUCUUUAGUCGUGUGCGGGCAAUCCAAAUAUCCCCCGAGAUUAGGAAUAAUAUUUUCGAAGCGCUCUAUUCCAUUUAGCUCCGUAGAUACAAUUACCACUUGUGAGUAGGUAUUACCAUAAGCUGAAUACGUAAUGACAUGUGAUCGAUGUCUUUCUUUAAUCUUUUAAAAAAUCAAAUUCAUAUCGAAUACCGGCGAGAAUAAAGGAAAAAAAAAUCCAAUUGGCAAGGAAGUGCCAAAUUCGAUGUCAUGUGACCUUUUGGACGCGAUAUGAGAGAAAAUAUGGGAUGGGUUCCUGGAAGACGUCCGUCAUGGGGAUCCAUGAAAGUCCAUGAAAAACCGUUCGUCCUGAAGAUGUUUUCUUCAUUUCAACAUAGCAAUCCUCAAAAUUCUUCUGUUACUUCUGAUUUACUACUUGUAGGUCAAUAUUUCUCCUCCAUUGGAUUUGACAGGAAAGAAAAUGGCACUCGGUCAGCCUAGUUAUAGCAUAGAUGAAAGUUCCAGAGAGAGACUAUUUUAGCAUUGUUUCCGCCUCUCCGUGUUUUUAUUUAAUGAUGUUUGGGGGGUAAUUUGAUUUUAAAAAAAAAAUUGAAGCGACAAAGAAAGAGGUUUCUUUUGUCAAGGCCGCGUUCAUGUUAUUGUCCUUUUUCUCUGCAAUGUGAAAUGUACGGGCAGGUAUUAUUAGCCAUACCUAGCAAUUUCACCAGCUUAGUCUAUGUGGGGACACAAUCCCAUGGUUCCAUAACUUUGAAUAAACACACUAAAUUAGCACCAAAUAUUUAUUUAUUUAUUUAUUUUGCAACAUGAAUUGGCCCGCCCACAAGUAAUCCGGUGCGGGCUGGGCUGAUUUUGCACCAGAGUUGCUCUUCAACUUUACCGGUAGCGUUAGUAAUUCACUUAUGACACCGAAAUUUUUUCCAAAAGAGUCGGUAAUUUACCAAUUUUUAUAAUUUACUAUCUGUUUACCUAAUGAGCAAGUAACCACUCAUUUUCUUUUACCUAACAAUUCCAUUUUUGCUGUUAAUCCCAUCCAAAAAUUCAAAUUAUGAAACUAGAAAUGAAGUCAUGAAUCCACUCUGAAGCUGCUGUAGAAAUCUGUAUCAAGUUAUCAAAACUAAAGAACACUUGGUGACCAUUGCACAUGAUCAUUAGCUAGGGAGCGUUUCAAGUUUAUGCUAGACCCAAUGUCUAGCCCCUCCUUCAUUUCUUCAAUGUGAAAAUUCUCAUGGAAAAUCAGCAACAAUUAAGUGAAUAUAGUUGCCAAUGUCUGACUGAAUUCGCAACACUGAAUGCAACACAUUCUCAGGGUAAUGUCUCGAGAACAUUAACAUCUACGAAUCAAUUCAGCAGCAAGUCAUCUUGAAUCCUUGAUGAAUUUCUUCCAUGACGAGAUUAAUCACUAAGCACACCCGCUAAAAUAUUAGGAGUACGUAGGACCAAAACAGACCAAGAGAAGAAGAGAGAAAUUGCAGAACCAAUCGAUUGUAUUAAGGUUCCAUCCCUUCCAGGACAAUAUUUUGGCUUUAGCUAGACCUUGGAAACCUCAGAAGGAUAAACGAUUUCCCCUUCUCAAACUAUUCCACCCGUAAGGUUUGGACUAGUUAGCUCCUGAAGGGAAAAAAUCGAUCCCCUAAUUGGUGCAGAAGUGAACUGAUGCAGAGGAGUUGCAAUGUUUUUCGAGAGCACGCGACUUGGUUUGGCUUAAAGCUAUUACAAUUGGAGGAGUUCAAUUGAGUCACAGCUCACGAAGGAGUUCAAUGGGAGGCUGUUUUCAUUGCAUAGAACUCAAUUCAAUCCCACUCUUUUCUUAAUCUACCACUAGUCGAAUCAAAAUUCACAGACAAAACCCAAUUAAGGCAGAGCAGAAACAAAAUAAGAGAAUCACCAGAAAAGGAGUGGGUGACGAUGAAGAAUCAAAUUAGACAGCUGCCGAGUCUGAAUGAAAAUGCAGGAAACCAAAUAAAGAUGCAGAGAAGGGAGAAACCCUUCUUGGCCUUAGUCAGCUGCAACCAAAAUGACAAAAAAUAAAAUAAAAUGAAGGCUUUCCAGACAAUCUAUUAAACCCUGGGGGAACAGAUCGGUUGGCAGGAAGACGCGGUCGCUUUCCCGGAGGGAAAUCUUCGCCAGGUCGAGUCGCGUCUCGUGCUUCCGCUCAGUGUCGCCGUUGAGGGCCUUGAUGGUUGGGGUCCGUUGCUGCUGCUCCUGGGCGAGCUCCUUACUCGGGUCGUCGCUGAUGAGGGAGGAAGAGAAGGAAGAAGAAGGAAAGAAUGUGAGGAGAGACAGAGAGAGAGCAACGGGAGAAAAAACAAAACAAAAAAAUAAAAAAAGGAGAAAAAAGUCGAAAUUUCUUAAGAGUGGGUCCCACCUAUACACACGUCAUUUGAGAAAAUAUUCCUCACCACCACUCUAGUAUGGAACAUUUUCUCCGUGACUUCCUGCCCACCACCCUCGGCUUAUCCGGCUUUCCGUCAGGAUCCUCGCUUUUUUCAAAUCCCUGUACUCAUCGGAUUCCAGAAUCUCCUCCAAUCUCUCACAUCCUCUUAUUAUUAAAUCCUCUAGCUCCUUGAAGCUUGAAGGAUCAGAAAAUUGUCGCAGAGACUCGCAGCCCCAAAUUUCAAGUCUUUUCAAUGAUUCUAGCCUACCUCGAAUCUCAACCUGACGAGGACAACGCCUUAUCUUGAGACCCUCGAGCUCCUUGGCAUUGGUUAGGUCAGGCAACUUCUCUAGCAACGGAAGAUCCCCCACACAUAACACCCUCAAGUUCUCCGAAACUUCCGGGCCUUGAAUCUCUUCUAGCUUCUGACAUUCAUCUAUAUAUAAUGAUUUUAUAUACUUGAAACUUAAUGGAUUAGGCAUCUUUUCGAGUGAUUUACAGUUAAAUAAAGUGAGGUCCUCCAACGAUUCUAGCUGACCUCUAACCUCAACCAAUUUAGGACAACUUUCUAUAUGAAUUCUUCGGAGCUUCUUCGAGUUGGUCAGGUCAAGCAACUUUGCUUGCGACACAAGACAACUAAGACGAAGCUCUUUUAGGUUCUUCAAAUGUUCGAGACCUUGAACCUGCACACAAUUAUAGACUUCAAAAAAUGAUAACUUCUCCAAAUAUGAAAGAUUUAUCACUGCAUUGUCCAUUAACCUGCCCCCAUAUAUCACAAAGUAUGACAAAUUCUGGGGAAGCCUAGGUGGGCAUUCUAGUUGAUGUACACAGAGUUUAAGCUUCCCGAGCUUUGAAAGGAGAUUAAAAUCUGAAGGUAGGGUGAUCGGAUUAUCGUAACGCAACCACAAGGUUUCUAGCUUUGUUAGCCCUCCGAUCCAAUCGAGACUUGUAGCUAGACAGGAAGGGGUUUGAUACCUUGAUUCCAAUGUCAAAACUCUCAAAUUUAAUAGAUUCGAGAGAUUUGGGCAUCUCAUAUUUACAUUAUAUUCCAGGUAUAAAUCGGUCAUACUUUCAGGAAGCUUAGGUAUAUCGGAAACUCUCGAGCUCGAUAACCUCAAGAUUCUUAGAAAUGAUAGUCUUUCAAUCUCAUUUGGAAUUUCCCCACACAAAUUUCUACAACUGUCAACAUGGAUCUCUUCAAGCUUCUCCAACAACCCAAGGGCACCAGGUAGCUUUUCUAAGGGGGUGUGAGACAUCCUUAGUACUCUCAAAUUCUUCAUCGUCUUUAUUAAAUCAGGUAACUCUCGUAAGCUCGACUGAGAAAGAUUCAACUCAACGAGAGACCCAAAAUUUCCAAAUGGAAGUUCACUAAUACUUGUUUCUGACAAGUCAAGAUACAAUAGUGAUGUUGAGCAACUAGCUAAAUUGCAUUCACUUAGUAAUUUACAGUAAGUUGUACUAAGGGUUUCCAUUUUCUCCAUUCCUUUCCAUUCAGGAAAAUUGGUAAUAGAUGUCCUACCAACACGAAGUUCUGUCAAGGCUUUCAGUUCCUCCAUCUCGUCUGGCAAUGUCUGAAGUUCCCUACAACCUUCCAAGUUUAAUAAUACUAAAUGCUUUAACUUACCAAUAGACUUAUCAACUUGAACCAGUUUGUAGCACCCUUUAAGAAUCAGUUGCUCUAAAUUUUUAUGAUCAGAAAAGUUAGGAGUCCUAUGCAAGUUGUAGCAUCCAGUCAAAUUUAGAACCUUCAACUUUUUUGCCAUCUGUAAUGAAGAGAAGAGGUUAAUUUGGAUCGUUUUGAGAUACGGGACAGCAAAGUCAAUAUAGCAAAUUCAUGUUGAAAUAAUACCGUACCUUGAGGUGGUUCCAUCCCUCCCACUCAUAUGUAAUUUUACUCCUUGAUAGAUCAAGAAUCGCUAGCUUCACGAGGGAAAAUGCGGUGAAUUGGAAAAAGAUGGGAAACUCAUGCCAUGAGAUAUACUUCAAAUUUUGAAGGAUGGGUAGAUUCCUCUGGAACGAGUUGGUUGAAGGAAAAUACUGAAUGAAUUUAGACCAUGAGAGCCAUCUCAAAUUCAGAAGGGUGGGUAGAUUCCUUCUGAACCAGUUGGUAAAAGAAAAAUGCCGAACAUUGUUCAUAUCCAAGUCCCCACACUCCACUUGAAGAAACCUUAAAUUUGGUAGACUUGCAAAUUCUUCUUUCUUAAAAAAGCAUCGAGAUUGAUGAUCAAACGUGAGACAUAUUGCUUCAACGUUUUUUGUUCCCUGCCAAAGCAAAAAAGGGAAACAUAAGCUGGUUAUCAUAUAAUCACCAGUUGAAGGCAUUCAAGUUGAACAUGCUCAAGGACUCAAGGAAUGUACAUCUUAUUCAUAAUUGAAACUAAUUUAAAAUAUAAUUUACAGAUGAGCAUGUGAUCAUAGUAACCACACAAGUAACGACUUGGUUUAGAUAGAAGCAAAUAAGCCAAAUCAACGUGUAUAACUUGUCUCUUUGGAUAGGAAUAACAUUGCAAACACUUUACCUCCUUCAUUUGAAGAACAGCAAUUGCUUCCUCAUGAUUCCACACCCGACUCUGCUUCUCCGGUUUUAAAUUAGCUCUUUCACGAACGAUGUCUCGCCCAAGGUCUCUUAGUUGAUCAUGCACCCAUAGUCGGUUACCUUCUACAAUCUUUAUUAACGACCUCUGUUCAAGGACUUCAAGAGAAUAUUCAGGGGAAAACUUAUAGCUGUCCCAUAUGUGAAUCACAAUUCUCACAUCAUACCCAACAAAGAAGCAACAAAUAUCAAGAAAUAUUUCCUUCUCUUGAGAUUCUAAUGCCUCGAAACUGAUGUUCAACUUACUUUUAACAUUUCCAUUUGGAAUAGUUUCCAGCUUCUUCAAUGUGAUCUCCCAAAUUCUCCUCUCUUUUCCAUUUAAAAGUGAACCUAUAGUUUUAAGAGCCAAAGGAAGACCAUCGCAGAUUUUUAGUGCUUUUUUGGAGAGGGGAACGUAUUCUGCUGGAGGAUUGUCUCUUCUAAAGGCAUGUUUGCUAAACAGUUUAAGAGAAUGUUUAAAAUCCAUUUUGAUAAGUUCAUGCUGAAAAUCAACACCUUUGAGAAGUUCCUUGUCUCUUGUAGUAAUAAUAACCUUACUUCCUCUACCGAACCGGCAUUCAUCCGCCCCCACAAGAGCAUCCAGCUGAGUCUUUUGGUCGACAUCAUCAAGUACAAGUAAGACUGUUUUAGAGAACAACCUCUCCUUGAUCUCAGUAAUUCCUUCAUUACCGUUAGUGAUGGACAUGCAACUUGUUCGUAGGACUUUAGAGAUGAGUUGAUCUUGCAAAGUCUCAAUCUUUGUAUCUCGAACAUUUGACAGGAAGCAACAGUUAUAAAAAUCAGCUGAUAGUUUAUUAUAGAUGAUUGUGGCAAGAGUUGUCUUUCCGACACCACCCAUACCAUGUAUACCAAUAAUCUGUGUUUCAGUGGUCCGUUCACCUAUCACUUCCAUGAACUUGUCCACUUGAUUGUCCAUUUCAACCAAGCAAUUAGACACUGCCAAGGAGUUCUUUUUCAACUUGAUCAAAAGCAUCUGGACAACUUCUUUUGUGAACUCGCCUUUGCCUCUGGCAGUAUUGAAGGCAAUAGAACCAAACUAUUAAAUCAAGAUGAAUAGAAUAAUAUCUAAGGUACAAACAAACCAUGCACAAUAAUAAAUUCAAGUACCUUUGCUUGAGUUUCCAUCCCUUUAAUGAUCCAACCUUGUUGAGAGCUGCCUUCCAGUUUUGAAUAGUCUCAUCAGUAUACAGCUGCUUAGUUAUGUGUGACCGAAUGGCCUUGCCGUAACUUGCAAUCUGGUCACGAACCUCAGAUGGUUUAACGUCAUAGAAAAUCUGCAUGAUCUCUUGUCCCCACUUUUCCUUGCACUCCACCAUCUGGACCAACUCCAUUAGGCACCAUUCACUCUCAGCAUAUCUUUCAGAAAAGAUAGGAAUUGAGAUUUUCGAUUGCUUAAUCGCUUGGAGAAGCUCUGGGCCAAUCUCUUUCCCAACAUGAAGCUGUUCAUCAUCUCUAAAUGCUCGUAUUCCGACAUUUGUGAGGCUGUGGUAAAGGUAAUCAGCGAUGUCGUUGCGAGUAUCAGAUCCUCUAAAACUCAAGAAUACUUCAUAAUAAGGCUCCACUGGCUUCUCCAUUUCUGGAAUUUUCAGAGGACUUGCAACGUCUUGAUAUCCCACCUGAAAUAUUCUGUUUUAAGUCAUUCUAGAAAAGAACCUUGAUGACAAAUGCAUGAGCUCCUUCUAGGGCCUUGCACUAGACACCAAAAUAUGUCCAAAUAUUUUAUUAACAGUACGGUAGAGAAGUGGACCCAUCUCGAUUCUAAAGGAAGAACUUUCCAAAGUAUUGCAGAAAUUAUGAAUUUUAGUCACACUCGAAAUUGAUUUGAAAAAAAAAAGAAUAUUUCACGCAGAGAUAAAUCACUGUUAACCUAUUUUUGUCUUGAACUCUUUCUUUAGGUGAUAAAAUUUCUCUUGAAAGAUGACGUUGAAUGUCCUUUGCACAUAAGCACCUAAAGUUGCUUGUAGCUUGACUAACUUUGUCAUUAUCUAAUAAGAAAUUAUAAUAAAACCUUCCUCUAUUAGUUUAACCAAAUUAGAUUGGACAAAGACAUUCCACAACACUCAAUUACUAGCUCCCUCGACCUUUACAGAUGCGGGCAAAGAGUUCAUUCCCCUACGACAAUCUCAUUAGAAAAAUGAAAUCAAGAAAUUACAAUAAAGCAAAUGCAACUCUCACCACCGGACUAGUUUGUAAAGAGCAUAAACCGAUCCCUAAUUACAGCCAUCUCAUAGGAUAUAAAAAAAGAAGAAAAAGAUACACGGUCAUGGGCGAGCAUCAGUUAGGCUUGAAGCUAUUAUCCACAUUUGCCAGAAAGUACCAGCAUAUCAGAAAAAAAGGAUUUAAUUACUAAUAAAUUAUGGAGCUAAUAAGGGUGUGCAUGCAAACGUUUCUGUUUCUCAUGGUUUCUGUUCUUUUGUUCCCCGGAACAAAAAAAGAACAGAAACCUAUUUGCUAACGCCACAUUGUUUUUUUGUUCCCGGGAAUAAAAACUUAGCCCGGGAAUGCUUUGGGAACAGAAACAAGAAGCAAAAAAAAGUUGCUUCUUGUUCCCGGGAACAAUUGCUAGAAAUAAGCUGAUUUUCUUUUUUAAUUUUCUUUUAUUUCCUUUUCUUGCCGCGACCACCGUCAACCGCCCGGAGCCACCGCCCACCGCCGCUGCCGCCGGUCGCCGCCGCCGGUCGCCUGCCGUCCGGCGGCCGCCGGUAGCCGGACGUCGCCGCCGCCGACCGCCGGACGUCGCCACCAUCCGCCGUUCGCCACAGUCACCGGCCGCCGCCGUCCGCCGCCGUCGCCGGUUGCCGCCGGUCGCCGUUCGCCGCCCGCCGGCAGCCGUCUCCGGCCUCCGGUCGCCGCUGCCGUCCGCCGUCGCCGCCGCCUCCGUCCGCCGGUCGCUGUCCCCGGCCCGCCAGCCGCCGCUGCCGCACGACCACCGGCCGCCGACCGUCACCGUCGGGCGCCGCCGGAAGCCCAUCGGCCGCCGACGACGGCCGGUAGCCGACGGUCCCAUGGAAAUAGAAUCUUGAUCCUUCUAAUUUUUAAAUGACCAUGGUUCAUGUCAUACACCAACAUAAUGCCAAUCAAUGAAAUGAUGCAAAUCAUGUAUACAUGAAGAUCAUCUCAAUGGGAAUAUAAAUUAAUAUCCCAGUUUCAAAAUGCAAUGAAAAGAAUCACUAACUUGAUAUACUCAACUUUAGACAANNNNNNNNNNNNNNNNNNNNNNNNNNNNNNNNNNNNNNNNNNNNNNNNNNNNNNNNNNNNNNNNNNNNNNNNNNNNNNNNNNNNNNNNNNNNNNNNNNNNCGGCAAUCCGUCGGCAAGAUUAACAAAUGAAUAAAUACACAAAGACAUUGUUGCGUUAUCAAACGCACUUCUAUUCUUUUUCUAUUUCCAAGAGUAGAAAUUUUGUGUCGUUAUCAAACGGGGUUCUUUUACUCAGAAAAUUGUUCCCCGGAGCAGAAAUAGAAACGAACCAUUUCUGAAAAAAAACUCCUCCCCGGAACAGAAACGUUUGCAUGCGCUACCUAAGAUUUCAACAGAAAAUAGAAGCAUGAAUGGUAUAUAACCGUUUUUCCAGAAAAUAAGUUGGAACACACAGGAGUGUAGGGAUGAGCUAGGUAGCACAGACACGUUCAAAGGGCCUCCGUGUCAUGUUGAACACCCCGACAUGUGUCCGACACGCUCGGACACGCUCGAACACGUGGUCAACACGUGUCUGAGUUUCCGACACGUGGUCAACUCUUUCCGACACGCGCAUCGGAGCGUGUCCGGAGGUUUGUGGGCGGAUCCGCAGGUGCGAAGGGAAGAAAGUGAUGGAGGGUGAAGGCAAGGGUGAGGGAGCUGAGGCGAUGCCGCGAGCGACGACGAGGGAGGGCUCCGACCGUCGACUGCAAGGGCUUCGACCGCCGACUGCAACACUGAGAAGCUUUCUCGAUCGUCUUGGAUGGUUGUGACUGCCAACUGCAACGUCGAGAUGGAAAACGGAAAGGUUGCGAUGGAGGGCUGGAUGCGAGGCUACGACGGCAAAGGGGGGAACGGAGGCGAGGCAGCGGUGAGAGAGGUGGAGACCGAGCGAGGGAGAGGAGAAAGAAGGCGAUCGCCGAUUGCUAGGGUUUUCAAUUUUUGGAAGAAGAACAAGGAGAGAGAGGAUGUGUCGACGGCUAUGUAGCACCAACAUGGGACACGACACGAGUGUCCGACACGACACGACACGUCGACACGUUAUUUCUAAAAAAUAGAGAAUUCCGACACGUUGCGACACGUUGUAUAUUAAAUGAAUAUUUUUAUUUUUAAUUAAUUUGAUUCAAAUUCAUAAAUAAAUAAUUAAUUAAAAAAAGAGCCUAUAAUAAAUUUAUACUAAUAAUAUUAACAAAUCAAUUCAUUUGAAAUUCAAAAGAUAUAUUCAUAAUUAAUGCAAAAUGUUUUUUUAAUUUUAACAAAAGUUAUAUGAAACUAAAAAUUAAUAAGAAAUUAAAAUCAAUUUAUCUAAAUAAAUCCAUGAUUUUCUACCAUAACCAAAAUUUAUCAUUAUUCAAAAUUUAACAUUUUUAUUUUUCGAAAUCAUUUUUUAAUUUUAUUUAUUUAUUUUUCCGGUUAAAAAAAUAAUCCCCAAAAUCCAACCCUUCUUUCGUUCCUCCUUUUCCCUCCACCCCACGUUUAUUUUAAUUUUUUCCCUCCCCCCACUUGACAGUGACAGGUGAGCUGUCACUCCGUUCGUCGCUUCGUCUCGCCAGCGCUCGCGACCUCUGCUCCCUCGCCCUCCCUCGCCUCCACCCUCCAUCAGUCUUCCGGACAUGCGUCGACACGCGUGUCGAUAAAAGUUGACCGCGUGUCGGAAAAUCCGACACGCGUUGACCGCGUGUCGGAAAAUCCGACACGCGUUGACCGCGUGUCCGACCGUGUCCGAGCGUGUCCGACACGUGUCGGACACGACACGGAAGCAUGGACAACGUGUCCGUGCUUCAUAGGUCGACGGCUUCUUGGGGGAAAAAAAGAAAGCCUCGUGCAGUGCAGCGUGACUUUGGGAAGAGACGUGUGCAGGCGGUGGGUGGGGUGGGGGAAAUAAAUGGAUGGGACCAUUUAACCCUAAAAAGAAAUAUUAAAUAUUAAAUAAUUUUAUUUUUUUUGGCAAAAUCUGUAAAAAUUCUCUCUUUCUUUUCAAGACGAUGAGAGAAAUGGAUCGAGAGCCUUUGCGUACGUUGAAUAACUUUAUUAAUACAUGUCACUAGUAUAGAUUUAUUAUAGGCUUAUUUAUUUAUUUAUUUAUGAAUUUGAAUAAAUUAAUUUAAACAUAAUAAUUAAUCAUGUAUAUAUAAAAAUAUUUAUUUAAUAUUUAACGUGUCAAAAUUUUCUAUUUUUUGAGAAAUGACGUGUUGCGUGUCGUGUCGUGUCGCGUGUCCAUGUCGCCGUGUCUGUGCUACCUAAGGGAUGAGAGCUGCAUUUUACGAAAGCAAGAGAGUACCGGUUCACCACAAAGUGCAACAUUGUAGUGUAUUCAAUUGUCUUUACUGUUAAAUACAGAGUUGAGGGUACCAAUGUUCUGCCUAGGAGCAUUCUUACUGCUAAUCACGUGACAAUAAUGUACGAAUUUGUCAUAUCAAAGUCUCUUAAAGAUACCACUAUUUCUGUUUGAGCAAAAAAAGAAUAAAAUCCAAUUCGUAAUUACCAGAAUUUGUCGUAUCAACAGACCCAAUCAAAUUAAUUUAGCUUUUAGCCCCGGCCCAGUUCCUAAAGAGCGUAAAUCCGAUUCCUAAUUACAGAAAUCUCUGAGAUCUGUCGACAAACUAAUGCAUAGGAGUGGCAUUGCGUUUCAGGAUCUGAGGCCUGACAGUUGCAUAGAUGGAAGUGGAUGAGCACUGAGCAGGGUUUUAGCCUGCGACUCAAGUUAGAGGCUAAAGCUAUUAGUGUCAGACGCAACUGGCAGUGAUCAAUCAUGGAGUCAACUGAGGAAAGAACUGAUGCUGAUCCGAGAGUCCCUCUCUUGUUUCCAUCAAAUUCUGCACCUAGUUGCAUUACAGAACAGACCCGAUUUUAUUUAAAAGAAGGCAAUAAACGAGAGGAAAUUGCCGGAGAUGGAGGAGGUGAAGAUGAACAGGAUCAAAUGCUGAGAAGCAGACAAAGAUCCCAAGAAAAAGCAUUCUUUGACAGACCUCAUUCGAUUCAGCUUUCUCGAGGGCCCAAAACACUUAGGGAAAAUAUUAGGCGUUUGGUAAGUAUUUUUAAAAGUCCCUUAGCUAAACGUCAGCAGAAAUGGGAAUGCUGAAAGUAAUGGGAAUGCUGAAAGCUCAACGCAGGUCGAACCUGCUUUUGAGCUUUUAGCAUUUCAAACCUACUUUAUACUAAUCAUCCGCGUCACUGUUCACUUUCUUCCCGUUCAUCUUAAUCUCCACCGAUUUACCACCUAAGAGUUAGGUCUUCUCCGGCAACCACCGCUUGGGGUCGCGCGAUCCGCGACUCAGGCGACGCCACCUGAGUGCGUGACCUCAGGCCGCCAGAUCUGGCGGUUCGGAGGCUAGAUCAGGCCUCCGCGACCUCAAGCCGCCGAAUCUGGCCGUCCGGAGGCUAGAUCUCGUCAUCCGGUGGCCACAUCUGGCGGUCUGAAGGCCAGAUCUGGCCGUCCGGCGAUUAGUCGGCGGCGGCCAACAGCCAACCUACACCGAAUUAAGUUUUUAGAUUAAAAAAUUAAAAAAUAAUAAAAAACCUUUAUAAAUUGGGUUAAUACCUUGAAAAACCCCAAACUGGUACACCUGUGACAAAUUUACCCAAAACUAUUUUUUUAAUCACCAAAAACCCAAAAUUGGUAUACCAUUGACAAAUUUACCCUAAACUGAUAUACUUGUGAUAAAUUUACCUUAUGUUAGUUUUUGUUAAAUUUUACUAUUAAAUUAUUAAGUUAAAUGACACGUAAUAGUUCAUCGGUACACUGAUUUGGGAUUUUACGCUCCGUUUGUCACAGUUUACAAUAUUUGUGAUUUUUUUUGCGGCAUUAAUCCAAUUUAGGGAAUGGUAUAUUUGUCAUAAAUUUAUCAGUUUGGGGUUUUUUGCAAUCGAAUAAAUUAGUUUGGGAUAAAUUUGUCAUAAAUGUAUAAGUUUAGGAUUUUUUAUGGUUAGUCUGGAUAAAUUUGUCACAUGUGUACCAGUUUAGGAUUUUUUAUGGUAAAAAAAAUAGUUUUGGAUAAAUUUGUCACAUGUGUACCAGUUUGUGGUUUUUCAGGGUAUUAACCCUUAUAAAUAUGGAUUUUACAAAAUGAUAUUUAUGCUAAAACUAUUUUCUAAUAUUUGGCUCGCUGUGCCUCAAAAUGGGAGUCGGCUUUGGGCUUACCGUCCCUCUCGCGGUCUCGGAAGGUCGCGGGCUGAGCGGCGCCGAGGACGAUCGGGACUUUCUUCUGCUCGCAGAGGCAGGAGGGAGAGUAACAGCUCGGGUUUUGUUGCGCUUUAACUAGCUUGGGGCUUGGGAAAUGGACGGCCCUGAUUUCUCCGGCUACCAAAUGGAGAAUCCUCGCUGUCAAAUGAGAGGGCUGGUUAAGUUUCUUGGGCCUUGACGUUGGUGAUUGGAGAUGGGCAAGGCCCACAAUCCAUGUGGGUAAUGCAGCGCAUAAAACAAGCAGUCUGGCCCAAGGCCUUAAGAUCCACAGCAGAAGCAAUACGAAAAAACCCUUCUACGUUGGAAGCUUAGCCUGGAUUUAAUGGUAACACAAUCGAGAGAAGAAACAUUUGUACUGAUAUUUUCUGAUUAUUACAUAAGGAGCUUGCAAUAUACAGAGUUUUGAGUUGCUGGCCAACCACUGAAAUCAGGUGCGCAUCCAACAUUUACAUUCUCUACCAUUAACCAAACUCAGAAGUCCAAGAGAUAAAAGUAUCCUGAAAACAACAAAAAGAUACUCGGACAAGCUGGAUUCUGCAAGAUCAGACUGCCUCCUUUUCUUCGUAUCCUCCAUCGAUCAUCAGAACUCAGAGAAUCUUCUACCUUCUCACGCUUGUGUAUAUAAAAAGACUUUAGCUUCUUGAAGCUUGAUGGAUCCUGUUUAGUCUGCCUUGGAUCUCGACCACUUUAGGACAUCACUGCAGAUAAAAUUUCUGGAGCUUCUUCAAGUUGGUCAGGUCAGGCAACUUGUCCAUAGAUGGAACUCCUCCAAGCUUGAAGGCACUUGGGUUCUCCAAAACUCGGAGGCCUCUGAACUCUCUCACUUUAGGGCAAUGGGCAACUUCCAAAUCUGACAGCGCCUUUGAAUUUGAAAGGUCUAUUGAUGUUUUUAUUUCUCUGCAUGAUUCGGUAUUUAAGUACAGCAAAUUUGGGGGAAGGCCAGGUCGGCAUUGCAGCUUCUUGGAGGGGACCAGUUCCUGUUCCUUGAGCUAUGAAAGAACAAUGAUGUGUGAAGAUGGGACGACGAAAUAAUGAGAUUUCAACAGCAAGGAUUCCAGCUUCCCUAACCUUCCAAGCUACGAAGGACUUGGAGCUUCAAUGAAUUUGAAAGCAUCAUCAAAAUUGUCAAAACCUGAAUUUUACAUACAAUUUGAAUAUCGAAGUAAUAAAUAACUUAACAUCAAAUGAAUGUCUACAGUGAGAUCCUAACAGCAAGGAUUCCAGCUUCCCUAAACUUGUACAGAAGAUUCACCUUAAAAAUAUAUGUAGAAGCGCAAAUCUAAACGUCCCUAAACUCCAAACCGACCAAUAUGUAUAAUAUUUUUUAGGGAGUGAGUUUAAGUUCAGUAAAUGAAAGCUCUACUUCCAAAAUGGAAGACUUGGGGCACGUUUGGUAACGUUUCUGUUCAAAAAUUGUUCCAGGGAACAGAAAUAGAAAAAAAGUGUUUCUGUUCCGGGGAACAAUUUUUUACCAGAAAGAUGCGUUUGGUAAAUUUGUUCCGGGAAAAAAAAUGAAUAGAAACACGUUUGAUAAAUUUAUAUUCUUUUUUUGUUUCUUUUAAUUUUUUAAUAUUUUUAUUUUAUUUUUCCUUUUUUCCUUUCUUUUUUAUUUUUUCUUCUUUCGGCCGGUUGCCGGUCUUCGGCGACCGGCCGACGGGGCCGGCAGCCUCGCCCAGCCACGGCGAGGCUCGGCCUCGCCAGGGGCCGGAGACGCUUCGGCGAGGUCGCCGACCCUCGACAGCGUCGCCGGCCCUCGACAGCCAGUCGCUGGCCAUGGCCGAGGCCGGCGACCGGCCAAAGAAAAAAGAAGAGAGAAGAAAAGUGUUUCUUCAAAAGUGUUUCUGGAGCAAGAAACAAUUUUUUUUUGUUUCUCAUUUUUGUUCUUUUUGUGUUCCAGGAACAAAAAAUCUGAUUUUGAACAAAAACGCAAACAAACGCGUUUCUGUUCCUUUUUUUGUUCCCGGAAACAAAAAAAACAAAAUUUCUAUUCAUAAACAAAAAAAAAAGAAUGAAAACAUGCAGCCCAUUGACAACCAUUAUGUUCAAAAAAUAGUUUCUAGAAUAGAAAUAGAUUUUUCAAUUUCUAUUUCUAGAAGAGUUUCUAAGUAAAAAUAAUCGUUUGAUAACAACACAAAAUUUCUACUCUAAAAAUAGAAAUUCGUUUGAUAACGACACAAAUUUUUUUCCUUUCGGACAAUAAUGGACCGACAAUCAGCAAGGAUGGACGGCCGGUGGCGACCGGCGACUGGCGGCCGGCGGCGGCGGCAACCGGUGACUGGCGGUGGCGGGGCCGAUGGCGGCAGCGAGGUCGGUGGCCGGCAGCAGCGGGGGCGAAGAAUUUUUAUUUUUGAUUUAUAUUCAAGAAAUAGAGAAAUAUAAAAUUUUAGCUUUUGAUUUCUCUUCCAAACCUAUUUUUGAAAUAGUAAUCUAUUCCAGAAAUAGAAAAACUGAAUAGGUUUAGCAAACGGAUUUCUCUUCCAAAAACAGGUCUGGAACAGAAAAACUAUUGCUGGAACAGAAAUGUUGGUUAUCAUGCACCCCCUUACUCGCUACUGGACCCGAGCACACAACAAUAACAAUUAGCAAAUAAGGUCAUAUAUUAUUAUCAAUAGGAAAACCAAUAUUCACCUAAGACAGUGUAAUUCGUGCAUUAUAUAAAAAUGACUAAUUAUCUGUGCAAUGAAUAAAAUAGAUGCAAUGUAUGACAUUCAUUUUAACACUCAAAUACACACAAUUAAUUAUACCAAAUCUCAUAAUGCAUAGAUAUCAGUAGCUCAUCGAUAUAAACAAGUAAAUAUUUAUUCCCUACUUAUUACUAGCCACGACUCAUCUCGACUAACUCAACUAAUGAGAUAUCGUAACCACUGAAUAAUGCAAGACAAAAUCAUAAACACAUAUUUACCAUGCUUCAACCCAUUCAUCACAGGUAUCCUCCAACGAUGAUAAAUAUAGUACAAACGCAUAAUGAUGGCUAUCCUAGACUCAUUCUCAUCAAGAUUCAUACCCAUUUUAUUUCCUUUCAUUUCUCAAUCUUGGACCUCAAUUUCAUAAAUUCAUAUAUAGGCUAUUCAAGUCACAUCUGGUUAUACAAGUCAUAUAAUUCCAUGUAUAAAUCAUUCUACUUUAUGUCUUCUCAAUCUUAUAAAGAACGGUAGAACAUCUGUCUUUUCCCAGAAUCUUAUAUACAUACUCAGAAAAAUCAAUUAUAGUGUUGGUAUAUUGCCAACAACACUUGUAGAAUUUCAAUGGAGUUGGUAAUUUACAUGAUAUGGGAAACAAGCACACUUGGAGAGCGCACCGCAACAGAAAGUCGUAUGCUGUAUUCGAAAGUGGUGUUACUAAUUUACUUAUGAUACUGGUUAAAUUUCGAAUGAGUUGAUAAUUUACUACUUCAUUGAAAUAUUAGUAAAUUUCUGAUAAGUGUUAGUAAUUCACCUACGACACCGGAAAGUUUUUAACAGACUUGGUAAUUUACCAAUCUAGUGUUUCAAGAGCAUUAGACUUGGUUAGGCUAAAAGCUAUUACAAUUAGAUGCAGAUUGAAGAGUUCAAUUGAGUCACAGCUCAUGAAGGAGUUCAAUGGGGGUCAUUAAUCAUUCAGAAGCCCCCCGUAGAAAUCUGUUUUAAGUUAUCAAAACUAAAGGACCUUUGUGACUAUUGCACAUGAUCAUUAACUAGGGAAGGUUAUGUUCAUGCUAGACACAAUGUUUUGCCCCUACUUCUUCAUUUCCUCAGCGUGGAAAUUUUCAUGGGAAAUGCACAACAAUUCAGUGAAUAUGGUCGCUGAUGUCUAAUUGAAUACGCGACAUUGAAUGCAACACAUUGAACAUUAAUCUCUGAGAAUGAAUUCUGGAGCAAGUCAUCUUGAAUCCUCAAUGAAUUUCUCCCAUGACAAGAUCAAUUACUAAUUGCACCCUCCAAAAAUUUUAGAAGUAAGUAGGACCACAGCAGACCAAAAAAGGGAAGAAAGAAAUUGCAGAACCAAUCGAUUAUAGUAAGGUUUCAUGCUUUCCAGGACAAUAAUAUUUCGGUUUUAGCUAGACCUUGAUAAUCAGAAGAAGAAUCGAGUCCCAGUCGACUAUAUUACAUAAGAUAAAUGAAAUCAGAUAAAUCCCUCCCCCCACCCAAAAAAAAAAAAACUGAUUCCCGAUGCAUGUUCUGAACUAGUUCCUAAGGAGCGAAAAUCGAUCCGCUAAUUGGUGCAGAAGUGAACUGACGCACAGGAGUUGCGAUGUGUUUCAAUAGAAUGUGACUUGGUUAAGGCUAAAGCUAUUAAAGAUUCGAUGCAGUUACGGAAGAAAAUCAAUCGAGUCAGCUCCCGAGUGAGUUCAUCAAAAGGCUGUUUUCAUUGCGUCUGUAUGAUAAGUCAUGACUGAAAAUAAUAAAAACUAACUCAAUCCGUUCCAAAUCUUUUCCUAAUCCGUCACUGAUUGCAUCAAAGAUUCGCACGCGGACCCAAUCCAUGCAAAUGAGAAGAGAAAAUUACCAGAAAAUGAAGACGGGUGAAGAUGAAGAAAACCAAAUGAAGAUGCAGAGCAGGAAGAACCCUCGUUGGCCUGAGUCAGCUGCAACCAAAAUGGAAAAGGAAGACCACAAUCUAUUAACCCCUCGUGGAACAGAUCGGCGGGCACGAAGACGUGGUCGCAGUCCCCGUAGGGAGAUCUCCGCCAGGCCAUAUCGCGUCUUGUGCUUCCGCUCAGGGUCGCCGUCGCUGCUGGCUCUGGGCGAGCUUCUCGCUCGGGUCGUCGCUGACGAGGGAGGAGAAAGAAUAUGAGAAGAGGGGGGGGGGGGGGGGGGGGGGGGGAGAGAGAGAGAGAGAGAGAGAGAGAGAAAGAGAGAGCAACGGGAGAAAAAACGAAACAAAAAAACAGAGAGAGAGAGAGUUGAAAUUUCUCAAGAGUGGGUCUCCCGACUCUCCCCUACACCUAUACGCACCGUUUCGAGAAAAUAUUCCUCACUACUCUGGUAGGUAAUCUCUUCCCCGUGAUUUCCUGUCCGGUGGUAUUCUUACCUCAAAUACUGCGAAGGGUCCUCUCACUUUUUUCAAAUCUCCAUACUCAUCAGAUUCCAGAAUCUCCAAUCUCUCACAUUCUUUUAUUGCCAAUUUCUCUAGCUUCUUGAAGCUUGAAGGCUCCGAAAACUUUUGCAAAGACCUGCAGCCUUCAAUAGAAAGCCUCUCCAGUGAUUCUAGCCUACCUGGAAUCUCAAUCAAACGAGGAAAAUGACCUAAAUUAAAAUCAACAAGCUCCUUGGCAUUGGUCAAGUCAGGCAACUUCUCUAGCAACGGAAGAUUCCUCACACAUAAGUAACUCAAGUUCUUUGAAUAUUCCAGGCCUUGAAUCUCGUUGAGCUUCGAACAGUGACUUAUCAUUAAUACUUCUAUAUGCUUGAAGGUUAAUGGAUCAGGCAGCUUUUCAAGUGAUUGAUAGUGCCAUAAAUUGAGAAGCUUCAACGAAUCUGGCUCACAUUGAACCUCAACCAAUUUAGGACACUUACUUAUAUGAAGUCCCCGAAACUUCUUCAAGCUGGUCAGGUCGAGCAACUUCACCAACAACGGAAGACGAACAAGAUGAAGGGCUGCCAAGUUUUUCAAAUGUCGGAGGCCUUGAAUCUCCAUUAGUUGUCUACAGCAAUGGAAUUCCAAUCUCGAUAACUUCUCCAAAUAUGAAAGAUUUAUCGACUUUUCCAUUAACCCACGCCCACGAAUAAUGAAGUAUGACAAAUUUUGGGGAAGCUUAGGUAAGUAUUCUAGGUUAUGUGCGAUGAGUUCAAGCAUCCUGAGCUUCAAAAGGAGAUUAAAAUCUAAAGGUAAGAAGAUUAGACCAUCAUAACGCAACCACAAGGUUUCUAGCUCUCUUAAUCCUACGAUCCAAUUGAGGCUUGGAGCUAGAGGGGAAGGGGUUUGAUACUCUAUAUCCAACGUCAAAUCUCUCAAAUUUAAUAGGUUUGAGAGGUCUGGACAUCUCAUCUGUAAAUUAUGGCGCAAGUAUAUAUUGGUCAUACUUUCAGGAAGCUUAGGUACAUCGGAAAUUCCCGUGCUCGUUAAUCUCAAGAUUCUCAAAGAUGAUAGUCUUCCAAUCUCACUUGGAAUUUCCCCACACAAAUAUUCACAGUCAUAAGCUUCAAUCUCUUCAAGCUUCUCCAACAUCCCAAGGGCGCUAGGUAGCUUUUCUAAGAUGGUGCCAGAGAUCCUUAGUACUCUCAAAUUCUUCAUUGUCUCUAUUGAAGUGGGUAACUCUCCUAUCCUCGACAGAGAAAGAUUCAACUCAACGAGAGAACCAAAAUUCCCAAUUGGAAAUUCACUAAUACUUGUACUCGACAAGCGAAUAUAUAACGGUGAUGUUGAGCAACCAACUAAAUUGCAUUCACUCAGUAAUACACAUGAACUUGCACCGAGAGUUUCCAAUUUCUUCAUUCCUUUCCAUUCAGGAAUUCUGGUAAUAGAUGUCUCGUCAAGAAGAAGUUCUGUCAAGGCUUCCAGUUCCUCCAUCUCGUAUGGCAAUGUAUGAAGUUUCGUACAACCUUCCAAGUUUAAAAACACCAACUUCUUUAACUUACCAAUAGACCUAUCAACUUGAACCAAUUCCUUGCACCCUUGAAGAAUUAGUUGCUCUAAAUUUUCAUGAGCAGCAACGUUAGGAGUUUUACACAAGUUUAUGCAUUUAGUCAAAUUUAGAACCUUCAAAUUCUUUGCCAUUUGUAAUGAAGAGAAGAGGUUAAUUCUAGAUCAUUUUGAGAUACAGGACAAUAAAGUUAAUAUAGCAAAUUCAAGUUGAAAUAAUACCAUACCUUGAGGUGGUUCCAUCCCUCCCAAUCAUUUGUAAUCUGACUUCGUGAUAGAUCAAGAAUCACUAUCUUCUCAAGGGAAAACGCAGUCAACUGGAAAAAGAUGGGAAACUCAUGCCAAGAGAGAUAUCUCAAAUUCGGAAGGAUGAGCGGAUUUUUACAGAACUGCUUGGUUGAAGGACGAUGCUGAACAAAUUUAUGCCAUGAGAGCCAUCUCAACUUUGGAUGGUUGAUAGAUUCCUUUGGAACCAGUUGGUUAAAGAAAAAUGCUGGACAUUUUUCUUAUCCAAGUCUCCACAAUUUACUUGAAGAAACCUUAAAUUUGAUAAGCUUUCAAAUUCUUUCUUCUUAAAGAAGUGUUGAGAUCGAUGAUCAAACUUGAGACGUAUUGCUUCAACAUUUUCUGCUCCCUGCCAAAGCGGAAAAAAAAAAUUAAACAGAAGCUAAUGAUCACAUAAUUGCCUGUCGAAGGGAUUCAAAUUGAAGAUACUUUAGGAAUGUGCAUUUUAUUCGUACUUUCAAAUUGAUUUAUAAUAUGAUUUACAGAUAAGCAUGUCAUCAUGGUAAGCAAACAAGUAACGACUUGGUUAAGAUAGAAGUAAAUAGCCAAAAUCAACGUGUAUAACUCGUCCCUCUUUGAAUAGGAAUAACAUUGCACACACUUUACCUUUACUAUGAGGAUAUCAUUUGCUUGUUCAUGAUCCCACACUUGACUUUGUUUCUUUGGUCUAGAUGUACCAAACCGACGAACGAAAUGUCACCCAAGGUCUCUUAGCAGAUUAUGCAUCCACAAUUGGUCACGUUUUGUAAUCUUUAUUAACGACAUCUGUUGGAGGACAUCAAGAUAAUAGUCAGGUAAAAACCCACAGCUUUUCCACAUGUGCCUCACAAUUUUCACAUCAAACCCAACGAAGAAGCAACAAACAUUGAGAAAUAUUUCCUUUGCAUUUGGUUGUAAUGCCUCGAUACUGAUGUUUAGCUUUUCUUCAACAUUUUCAUCGGGAAUAGUUUCUAGCUUCUCUAAUGUGGUCUCCCAAAAUCUUCUAUCUUUUCCAGCUAAAAAUGAACCUAUGAUCUCGAGAGCCAAAGGAAGAUGACCACAGACUUUUACCACUUUUUCGGGGAGAGGGGCGUAUUCUGCUGGAGGAUGAUCACUUCUAAACACAUGUUUGCUAAAUAGUUGAAGAGAAUGAUCAAAAUCCAUUCCAAUAAGUUCGUGCUUCAACUCAACAUCUUUGAGAACUUCUUUGUUUCUUGUGGUAAUAAUAGCCUUACUUCCAUAGCCAAACCAACAUUUACCCAUUCCCACAAGAGCAUCUAGCUUAGCCUUUUGAUCGACACCAUCAAGUAGAAGUACGACCUUUGUAAAGGAUAACAACUCCUUGAUCACUUUUUUCCCUUCAUCGAUAUCAUUGAUGGUCGCUUGUCUCUUUCCUAGGACAAUGGAGAUAAGUUGAUUCUGCAAACUUUCAAUUUUCAUAUCUCCAAUGUUGGACAUGGAGCAACAUUUAGUGGAAUCAGUGGUCUGUUCACCUAUCACUUCCGUGAUUCUGUCCACUUGAUUGUCCAUUUCAACAGAGGAAUUAGACAAGAUGUAAUCUUUAGUAGAAUCAGACAACAGUUUGUUAUAGACGAUUUUGGCAAGAGUUGUCUUUCCAACACCACCCAUACCAUAGAUACCGACAAUCUUUGUUUUAGUGGCCUCACCUAUUAAUUCCAUGAUUCUGUCCACGUGAUUGUCCAUUUCGACCAAGAAAUCAGGUACCGCCAAGUAAUUCUUUUUCAAUUUGAUCAAAACCUUCUAAGCAACUUCUCUUGUGAACUCACCUUUGCCUCUGAUAGUAUUGAAGGCAAAAGAACAAAAUUAUUAAAUCAAGAUGAACAGAAUAAUAUCUAAGGUACAAACAAAACAUGCACAAUAAUAAAUUCAAGUACUUGUCCUUGAGUUCCCAUCCCUUUAAUUCUCCAACCUUGUUGAGAGCUACCUUCCAAUUCUGAAUAGUCUCAUCAGUAUACAGCUGCUUAUUAUGUGUGACUGAAUGGCCUCGCCAUAAGUUGCAAUCUGGUUACGAACCUUGGAUGGUUCAAUGUCAUAGAAAAUUGGCAUGAUCUUUUGUCCCAACUUUUCCUUACAUUCCACCAUCUGAACCAACUCCAUAAGGCACCAUUUAUGCGACAUCCCGAUUUUCCAAUUCUAAUUUUAAUAAAUUGAGACGGGCAUUUCGUUGGUAUGCAUAUAGUUCCUUUCCUUGAGUCAGCCACUCAUGUGAAAAUUAGUCUAUCAGGUAAAGCCGUUAAGAAAUUCUAAUGCAUCAGACUCGAGAAUUUGAUCAGGAAGCGACCUUUCGACCGAGAUAAUCUGCAAGGGUCAUUACGGCACAAAUAAAAAUCGAUUAGAAAUUGGAGAUAGGUCGGCUCGACAGAGGCAUGUGAUCAGGUGUGGGUGAUUCCACUGGAUCGCACAAUUCUUGUCGAUCGGCACCGGACCGACUUUUCUAUUGAUUGGGUACCCUGUGCCCGUAUUUGAAACCUUGAGAUUUCCCCUACAACAGAAAGUUGCGAAUGUGCCAAAGAUGUAUAUUGUGGCUUGAAUUGAUCAACCACAUGUCAAAUGCACAAAAAUUUCUAAAAACUACUCGGUAGGUUGAGCCGCGCUAGUAUCGUGCCAAAGUGAAAUUAACCGUGAAAUUGAGAUCGAAUUCUGAAAUUGGAAGUCCUGGUGUGUCACAAAUUCUAUUAGGAACAUUGGAUUAAAUUAUGAAUUUUAAUUUGGACUCAAUCGGAAGAGAAUUGAUGGGAAUUGAAGAAAUUGAAUGUACAAGAAUUGGACCCCGACGGAAAAUGAAAUUUGCACCCAUUGGAAGAGGUUGUAGAGGAUUGAGUUAGUGGAGUGAUGUCAUGGUGUGGGGACAAGAGUGACUAGGAUCUUGACAAGUGGAGGGAUGAGAUGGGCUCUUGAAAAGGUGGGCUUUCACUUCAUCUUCUUCCUUGAAUCAAGGGAAAUUGUUGGAUUUUGAAGAGAGAGAGAGAGAGAGAGAGAGAGAGCAGCCGGCCAUCAGAACCUCCUUCAUCCGCCCUUCUUCGCUGCUCGGUUGCUCGCUCGGCCGGCCACCGUCUCGCCCGCGUUCCUCGUCGCUCGCCGUUCGUCGGAGCUCGCACGUUGCUGUCCCAUGUGCGAGCUGCCUUGUCUCCAUCCGCCGAGCCUCCCGCGUUGUCGUCUCUCCUCGCCAACAGCUAUUCGUCGUCGCCGGAGUCUCCAUCACCGCCGUUCGUUGCUGUUAGCUGCCGUCCCGAGCCUUAGCUGCUUCCGCCGGUCUUCCUCCGCCUUUCCUCCACCCGAUCAGCCACCGUGCCGCCUCCCUCCAAGCUCGGUUAGUUGCUGGAAAAUCCAGCAAGACCCAGCCCCUUCCAAGCUCGAUUUGGUCUCCUAUUAGUUCUCAUUUGGUGUUGAUCCGUGUAGGUUUGUCGUCGACGUCGUCGUGCUCUUCGCCGGAGACUCAUCGAUUCUGGUGAGUUUAGCUCACUAAACCUCGAUUAGUGGGUUAAUCAUGCCUUAAGUGUGUUUAGCUUGGGUUGAUUGAGAUUAUGUUGUUAGAUUAGUUUAUUUAGAUGUGGAUUAGAUUAAGUUGUUUAAUUAAAGUAAAGUAUGUUUAGUUUAAGGGUUAAGUAGGUUUAUUUUAAAAUAAGCCUUGAUGUGACUUAAAGGAAUUUAUUUAUGAUUUAAAUAAAUGUUUCAAAAUUGUUAGAUUAUUUAAUAAUAUAUCAUAUUCCGAAAAUCAUUAAAAUAUUAUUUAAAAAAAAACUUGAAAAAAUUAUUUUUGAUCCUAAUUGCUCAGAAUUUCGUGCCGAUCGCCGCUGUAUAGUUAGAAUUUGAAAUUGAUGAAUGGUUAAUGCAAAUUGAGUGUUGAUUGUGGAAAAUAUGGAUUUUAUUUAAAAAAUCUCAAAUGUCGGGUUUGACAUCGAAAUUGGAUUUUUAAAGAUUAAUAUUGUAAUUGGGGUAUGUGAGUGAUGUGCAAAGUGCCUUGGGUUGAUUAUGAGUUGCUGCAUGAUAAUUAUGAGGAAUUGUCUUGUGCUAUUAAGCUGGAAUUGCCCCUAUAUGGGAUGCCACAUACAACGGAUGCAAGUCGCAGUUGAUUCUGGGCCCAUGCUCCUUUAGGAACGCCGCCGAUGUACUGACGAAGCCACGCUCCAAGGUGGGGAGGCGAUGCCUGGCUAUAUGUCAGUAGAUAACCGAACUGUGAGUAGGCUAUGCCUUUGUGUGGCAGUGAACAAUGAUUGGAAUGCUUGUUGUGAUUGCGAAUUAAGUGAAAUUGAUUGUGUUCCAAUGAUUUAAGUCCCUGUUGUUACCUGUGAUUGAGUGAUAUGAAUUGUACUAAUCUGCAGGAAGGCAAGAAGGUGAGGUAAGUCUUCUGUGCUAUGUGGCUAGACCACUCUAGGGCGUAUUUUCUUUGUAAUAGGGGUUUAGGAGGGGUGAACUUGCUGAGACAAUGUCUCAUCCCGGUUUGGGGAAAAUAUUACAGGACCGUAGAUGGCGGGACCCCCAGAGACGAAUGGCAUCCCAAUGUAGAUCAUCGAGCAGGUGCACAACUUCCCUGAUCCUGGGAGCCAUUGGGUCUACGAGCUGAUCAGGACUACCAUAUGGAUCCAGGAGCCUGAAGAUGUUAGGGUGCCCCAUAAGUAUAGGGCUUGGUUCCGUUUUUGGGCCAAUGGCUUUAUGAUUGGUCCACUUGACAGUUUUGAUAUUCCACUGGCCGUGAUGGAUGCUAUUCUGGGUGAGGGUGUAGCUGACCUUCCUGAUGGUAGGGUGGAUAACCCAUCGUCUCCGGACCCAGUGCAGUCAGAUGUGGAGGAUGUGGGAUCGACGAACGAGUCCGAUUAGUAGUUAUAGGACCGUUCCUCUUUUUGGUGACCGAUCCAUGUUGCGUAAACUGACCCAUUUUGAUGCACAUAAACUCUGACUUAUUUUUGGUGCAUAUAGUCUCUGAAUCCUAUUUGUGUAUGUAAACUCUGGAAUGAUGAUAUGUGAAAGUAUGUGGUUUGAUUUUGAAUUGAUCUUUCCUGCUGUCCUAUCCCAUAUGAUUUUGAUAGGAGUUUCUUAGCACGUUCCGCAUGCGCAAUAAUAUAUGAAUGGGGUCGGCAACACUACCUGGGAAUGUCGCAUAUUCAUGACCAUAGCGGGUUGUUCACGUGUCUCGAGGUUCGGGGCGUGACAAUUUACUAGCAGCGUAUUCUUUAGAAAAGAUAGGAAUUGGGAUUUUCGACUGCUUAAUCGCUUGGAGAAGCUCCGGGCCAAUCUCUUCCCCAACGUGAAGCUCUUCAUCAUCUCUAUAUGCCCGUAUUCCAGCAUCAAUGAGGCUAUUGUAAAGGAUAUCAGUGAUGUCGUGGCGAGUAUCUGGUCCUCUAAAGCUCAAGAACACUUCAUAAUAAGGUUCCAUUGGCUUCUCCACUCCCUGAAUUUUCAGAGGACUUGCGACAACUCGAUAUCCCACCAGGAGAAACGUUUACUAUGAAAGUGGAGUGAUGAUUAUCAUGAAUGAGAGGAGAUUACCAAAGAUGGAGGAGUGAAGAUGAAGAGUCCGGAUCAAACGCUAAGAAGCAUAUAAAGAUCCCCCAGAUCAAUCGUUCUUGGGUUUGAGCUCCGCUGAAGAAAGACUUUUCGCAAGAUGGCUCGCUCGCCCUCGCAUGCAAUGCUCUUCUAGGAAGGUGAGGACUUGCGAGUUGCACGUAUACUUAAAGCCAGCCGUUGACUUGCCAAUGAUUUGUUGGCGCAAACCACCAGAGUUCAAAUAGACGAGAUUUUAACGCAUGUUAUUAGUUUGGAAAUCAUAUAAUUAUAUUGAUUGAUAUUCUUUUAACGACGAUGAAACCAUUCUUUAGUUGUAGGUGAAACCCUAGGCCCAUUUAAAUUCAACAUAAAUUGAAUCUACAAUUGUAGAAUCCACACUUGUAAGUCUUUGAGAUAAUUUAUAUUAUUCAUAGUAAACUUAUAAGACUGGAGUUAGUUUUUAUGCUCUGUUUGUUUCGUAAAAAAAUAAAUAAUUUGAAAAUAAUUUCUUAAAUAUGAUUACUUGUAUCGCGUGAAAUAAUUAACUAAUGAAAUAUACUUUCAUUGUGAAUGACAAUUUAUGUCUAAAUAAUUUCGUGAACGAUAAAAAUAUCUUUUGUUUAUUCAUUUUUGUAAGCGAUAUAAGUGAUCAUUUUAAAAAAAUCCGUUUCAAAUUAUCAACUUUCCGCAAAACAUACAUACCUUUGAAAAAGUUACAGUGCAAGUGGAUGGUAAUCAACAAUCAUUUUUUAAUUGGCUAUAAAAUCUUAUUAAAUUCAUUAAAAAAGAGAGUACAUCUUGGAUCGCCCCUGGGAGCGGAGAAAUACAACGAUCUUCCAAAAGAAGUAUUGAAAAUCCUAAUUCUAACCUAAGUCUAAAUUGGAAAAUUACGUGAAAAACAUAAACCUUAGUCAACAACCCUUUGGGAAGAUGUGCAUAGCUCAUCAUGCACGGCGCACGGCACAUGUAGAGCACUUGCAUGCCACAUGUAAGACACAUGGAAAUUUCAACGACUGCCGAGGAAAAAUGCGUCGGAAUUGCAUAGGGUCGAAGGCUCAAAUGGGCUAAAUUUAAGAAUUCAAUGAUUUAAAGAGUGCAAUUUGAAUGAAAUUCAUAAAAUCGACUCGGUUUAAAAUUAAUACAUUGAAAUUAUUGUGGAUCAAAUGCUAAGAAGCAGAUAAACAUGCCAGAACAGAAGAAAGACUUUCAUUAAAGAGUCUACUCACCUUCAAGUGCCAUACCCUUGGAAGGUAAGGACUUGCUACUCAUCCUAGACGCAUUAUAAUUUUACAUACAUUAAACCUAAAAAUAUAGAACUGAUACAUAUAACGUAUUUGAGAUGGAUUAUGUUAGACUUAUUCACAAUAAAUUCAUAGACAAGAAUUAGGUUUUAAUUUCAAAAGCUGCAUUUGGCCACAAAGGAAUAACGCUCCAAAAAAUUUACAACAAGCCUUCAAAAAUAGCUAUAGUUGAAAUAUUCCAGAUGAGUUUACCAUGAGGCAGCAAUGCUCUUUUUACAUAUAUAUAUAUAUGGUUUUGUCCCAAUUUAUUUCUCAUAUGCGGGUAAUGGAAACGCUUUCAAAAUAGACAUCUCUCCAAACUGUUCAGAAGCCAUUUGAGUUGCUAAUAAAUCAAAGUUUCCCUAAGCAUGGAGAGCAGAGGGAGCGUAAGUUCUAGACACAAGGUUUGCAGUAAACAUGACCUCUAUGGUCUUUGGCCAAAGCGGCAAUGGAGGUAUUAGAGUCUUGCAUCAAUGUUCACUUGAAGUAAGGGGGAAGGAGUCCAUUUUGGAGGUUCAUUGUUCACAACUCGUGACUACGAGCAACGUUCCAUCACAACUCAUGAUAGAUGUCCUGUAUGUGUCGAAUUACUGAAGAAAGAUCCAUUGGGGAGCGAGCUUCCAGAAUUUUGUUUCGACGCUUCCAUAAACCCACUAAACUAUCUCGACCAUAUCGCAAAAAUCUUCGCAAUAAAUGUCAGGUGGAAGGCCGAAAGCGAGGAGGCGCAGAGAUCACAUAGCACACGUGUAAAAAACAGAACCGCAAAAGAAGUUGAUAUGUCCAAGCCCCAGCCAACUCGACUCCAUACAAUUCAGGUCAUCCACUCUCUUCCCCUUUUGUCAGGGCGAAUUUGACUGAUCAUUAUUUUUCGAAGUAAAAGAGCAGUUUUGUUCUAACUAGAUCUUAGGGAGAGAUAUGACCUUUACCUAUUUAUGGAAUAAAUACGACAUCUUGCCCAUGGAAUGUUGACAAGACAUCGAAUGCAUUUUGUGCAGAUCUCAACAACCGAGAGCAGAUUCUUAUGAAGACUGUACUUCUGAUUAACUUGGAGGUAAAGGACAACCAUGAGGAGGCAGCAACUGGAGCUCAGCUUGCUUUAAAUCUUUGUCGAGAGGUCUUUGACUGUUUGUACUUUAUGUAUUAAUGAUAGUAAGCUUAAUUUCUGUAUGCUGAGAAAUUGCUUAUUGUAAUUUCUGGUCCACAGAUAGAAGCAGCCGAGGAGGAAUCCAUUGAUGAAAUUGUUUCUAAUUUUCAGAACCAGAACAGGCGGAAAUUUUUAUUCAGCAUUUCCUUCUAUUGAUGACCGUGGUGAGGGCAAGACUCUUGCUCUGAAAGCUUUAUGAUCCAUGUCGUUGUUCUGUUAGUAUUUUGUCUGCAAAUUUAUAUGUCGAUGUUCUGUUAGUAUUUUUAUUCUGUCUGUCCAUCUACUUGCACAAUUGGUAAUAUACUUAAAUACAUUACCAGAUUUCUUCCAACGCUGUUACUGUUUGCUUUGCACGAAGCCUUCCCUAGAAAUCUUACCUUUCUAAGCCCAGCGAGCCCUAUUUAAUCCAUUACACAGCUAAUCAUUUCAAUAUACCCUAUCCUGAAUUUGAUCUCUUCUUAUGUCAGGAAGACUGAAUCAGGCUCUCCCAUGUUUCUACGCCUUUGCUUGAUCUUGGUAUUCCAUGCGAAUUGUUGGGUUUGAUGAGCACUUUCCUUGACUACUCGUUAGAGGUAGGUCAUUUUGCAACAGUAUCUCUAUCUGCAUAAUGAGAAUUGUCAUUCUCACGCUUUGAAUUUAAUUUGCUAGAGAAGCCUAUUCUUUGCUGUUAUCGCCAAGCCUAUCAUACUAAUGCGCUGCAUCUAUCCACUUUCAGAUAACACUGCAUCGAUGUGGAAAAGAAAUUCUGAGUCGAACCCUUUUACACUCACCUUAUCUCUGGAAUGUCGACGCAUGAUGAUGUAUUAGUAAUUAGAAGCAAGCCAUGUAUUAGUAAUUAGAAGCAAGCCAGUCUUGCUUAGGAGUGAAAAUUCUAUUAUUUCUUGUAGUUUUUUUUUUUUUUUUUAAGUUUCUUUGUACUGCAGAACUAAUUCUGCGAUGGUACUCAUGUCGAGAGAGUGGGAAGAAAAGGGAUUCCGGCGUAUUGCAUAUAAUUUCUUUGAAUGCAACAGGUUCAAAACCGCCUCUAUUUUCAUUUUUUCUGUAUCGUGCAUAUGAAAAGAAAAACAAGAGAACAGAACCAACCUGACCUGGUCAGUCAUUUGAUGAUUUGGUCCUGUGUUUUUGGCAGGGUUUACAAUUCAAUGGAUCCUAUUUAUUUGAGAUGAGUUGGUUUUUGAAAAGAAAAUUACUAAAAAGCAGAAACUUCUAAUUUGAGUUCAUAUAGAGAUCGUCAGUUUUCUUGCUGGCUUGUUGGUCAUUCCUAGGAUCCUGUCCUUCAACUUGCUUUCCUCACUUCCUGGAUAAAAAUUCCCUUGCGUAUUCAUUUAAAAUAAUAAGCUCUGAUAAUUUGUCGAGAUUACCUAGUACUGACACACAAAAGUCAUCUCCAUGUAUGGCUUGCACCAAGGUUUGCAGUUUCACAUCUCAAAGGGGAGGAUGCUUUCUUGACCUCGGCGCAAGUGUCUUUUUCGGAAUGUUCAAAUGCCAGUCUCUUGAGCCAGUGAAUUCUUCUAUUCUGCUGUUACUUUGAGCCGGUGAAUUCUUCUUCUUCUCUGCUGUUCCUUCGGGAAGACAAUGCAGUCCAUUGAUCCGUCUGUGGAAAUAAAAUUUCUCCUCUUUCUGAACCUUCAAUCUCCUCUGCAUUAAUUUGUAUAACACCGAACGCUCCAGUUAGUUGUGGUAUGCUCUACCCUAAUGCAGAUCUUCUGCUCCUUAUGUACAAAUAGGCUUGUGUUUGCAUCGUGUCAGCUACAACCCAACAGUGCCAGUGAAACUUGGCCAAACAACAGUGCGCAUUAGACACAGAAAAGAGAGCUCUUCUGCUCACACAUAUGAUCAAAUGUUACUAUGGUAUGAAUGAUGAAGAGAAAUUGAAGGAUAAUGACUCUCCAUGAACUAACAAACAGCGGCAUCAGCCAGCAUUUCCAUUUCAGAAUGGCGACAUACCAAUCUCGCUUCAUCUGUCCUAAGAGAUCUUAACAAAGAAUAAAUAUCACCCUUAUGAGUGUGCCUCUUGUCCUUGACAAUGAAGACAUGAACUUGACCCUGAAUUUCUAUCCAGCUACAACCAGGCUGCUUGACUACUCCUCGUUGCCUCAUCAGCUUCCUUAUUCUGACGACAUCGCCCCAUUUUUUGCUUUCCACGUACAUGUUUGAGAGCAGAACAUAAGGUCCAGAGUUCGAAGGGUCAAUCUCUAAGAGCUUCUCCGCUAUGUGCUUUCCUAGCAUUAUAUCCUUAUGAACUUUGCAGGCUGCGAGCAGCGAACCCCAAACGACAGCAUCGGCUUGCAUGGGCAUUGCCUCUAUUAAGUCCUUUGCUUCACUGAGACAACCAGAUCGGUUGAGCAAAUCAACCAUGCACGUAUAAUGGUCCUUUACCGGUGCCAGACCAUACUCCUCGAUCAUCCGCUUGAAAUAAUGGCACCCCUCUUCGACCAGCCCUGCAUGGCUGCAUGCACAUAGAACCCUGAUCAUAGUGACACAGUCUGCUCUCUUGCCAGAUACCAACAUUUUCCUGAAUAUUUCAAGCGCCUUUAUCCCGUAACCAUUCUGCGUAUAUCCGACAAUUAUGGCAUUCCAUGAGACCUUGUCCCUCUCCAACAUAUUUUUGAACACCCAUAAACCAUCUUCCACAGCUCCACAUUUAAAGUACAUGUCUAUAAGAGAAUUUCCAACAAAAAUAUCAGAUUCUUCUCCAGACUGGAAGCGAAAUCUGUGCUUCAAGACAUGAGCAUGAGCCUGCAGCCCCAACUGCAGAUCAGCAAGAUUUGCACACGCAUUGAGCAAAUUUCCAAAUGCGUAGUGCGUCAGCACAAUGGCUUCCCUCUUCAAAAGGCGGAAUAAACCAAAUGCUUCUUCAUUCUCUCCAUUCUGGGUAUACCCUGCAAUAAGGGCAUUCCAAGAAACUACAUUCUUCUCCAUCAACCUUUGAGACUUGCUGCCUUUGCAUACCCACUUACCAUGGAGGUGGCUGACACUAUAUCCCUGGUAGGCAUGCUGUCAAAAACUGCUCUGGCCUCACUAAUUCUAGAGCACUUAGAAUACAUAUCAAACCAAUGCAUUUCCUAAAACGACAUCAUUUCUAAAUUUGUCACAUUUUACAACAUGGGCUUGAAUUUGCAUCCCUUCCUUAAGUGCCGACAGGCUAGCGCAUGCGCUGACCACACUGGCUAAAGUGACCUCAUCUAUAUCAAACCCACAAUCCAUCAUGCUCACGAAAACCUCAAGAGCUUCACUGGCUGGACCAUUUUGUUCAUAACAUGUAAUCAAGCUGUUCCAAGAAACUACGUUUCGAGAACUCAUUUCAUCAAAAGCCCUCUGUGCACAAGCCACGUUGCCACACUUGGAGUACAUGUCGAUAAGAGCAGAGCCCAUAUGAACAUCGGACGAGCACUUGGACUUCGAUAUCAAAGCCUGGAUCUGCUGGCCCAGAUCCAUAUCCCCUAACCCGGCGCAUGCACUAAGAGGACUACGGAAUGAGUACUCAUUAAGCACAUAAUUCUCCCUAUGCAUCUUACCAAAACAUCGCAAGGCUUCUUCGAAUCUUUCAUGCUGCACAUAACCUGACAGCAUCGAAUUCCAUAAGCACUGGUCAGGUUCCGGCAUUGACCCGAAUAUCUUUUCCGCUUCAUCAAGAGAACCCAGUCUGAUCAACCCUCCUAAGAUCGCAUUCCGCGUGAAGGUAUUCUUCUCAGGCAUUCUAUCGAACAUCCUGUGGCCGUCGUCGAGGCACCCGCAUCUCACAUAGACAUCGAUGAGCCGGUUCUGGAUGAAAACCUCGGCGGAGAACUGGGUCUUAAUGAUCCGAGCGUGGAUGUGGCACGCGUCGCGCGCUGACAUGGACAGACCGCAGCCGUCCGGGAGCUUGGCGAAGGGGGACGAGGUGGCGAAAGACAGAUAGCCCGCCAGAGCCUUGACCUGCGCAUGCCUCGCCAUUCCAUCAUAUCAUCGUAAGAAGGGAACUCUCUCGGAGAAGAUUCGCAAAGGUGCAAAUUGAAUGCGAUGGGGAGUUUCUGUUGACCGUUAUAUGCUUCCCCGCUUCAGCCAGACGCGCGGGAACAUGACACGAGCGCUCAUAUGAAGUGGGGCAAAGUUGCAGUGGCAAAAUGGUAAUUUAGCAUAACAGUCUACUAAUUAGACUCAUGACUAUGAAUUAAAUUUUUAACUAUGAGUAAAUCUAAGCUAUAAAUUGAAAUAUGUCACCCUUAAUGGGUAUCUUGUUGUAAGUCACUAAAUUAAGAUUAGUCAUAUUUAAAAUCUAUACUUAUUGCUUUAUCAAUUAUAGUCAUAAGCUUAAUAUAUGACAAGUCAAUUUUAUUGAGAGAUAGCUGGAUUAUUUACAAAUCAAACAUAAAUUCUUGUUUAGUAAUUUUGAUCAUUCUAAUUAUAACUCAUUCUGACCAAAACAAAAAAAUUGUAACUCAUCAUUGAAAAAAUGCAAAAACCAAUUCUAGAGAAUGAAAAUUAGAUCUAUGCUGGAUUAGAUGGGAUAUCUUUUCAUCGGCCCCCUCCCUCGAGGAAUAGCUAACCUUGAUUUUAAGAGAAUAGCUAUUUCUUUGAUGGAGCUAAUCUUGAUUUACUUCUUAACCAACUAAGGACUAUCUUUUCAUGAGUAGAUUGAGAAUAAUGUAGCUAUUGUGAUAUUUUUGUAUUAACUCACAAUAUUGGUAAUGUUCUAACUUAAUUGCGCUUAACUUUAGAGUAAAACUACCAAGAUAGGUGGCUGUACCUUCAUGAGGUCACUUAUCUUGAUAAUGCUCUAACUUGACCACGCUUAACUUUGGAGUGGAAAUAUUUAUUGAUCUCAUGGGGAAGUGCUUGUCUGCAUGCCAAAUGAUAAAAUCGUGAAGUUUGAAAUGGGAUGGGUCUCAAUAGAUUAUAUCUCAAGUGAAUUAACUCAAAAACAUCACAGUUAUCUGUCCUAGAACAAAAGGUGCAGUUGGAUUUUCAAUUAAGACGCUUCUUGUUCAAGUAAGGUUUGUCCCUUUUGUUUUGUUUUGUUUUUUCGCUUUUUAUUUUUAUUUUUUAUUGUUGAAUGAAUAAUUUGGACAUCGUCCUGUUAUGGUAAGAAAAAUCAAUUGAUCUUCUAAAAUGUGCGUUGCUGUGAGCCUUUGUGAGGGAGAGCUUCAUGAUAAGAAAUGAAGCCCAUCUGAACGCACAUCCAAUCUGUCAAGGCUUUGAAACUCUUUCGGCUUUAUGCGACCAAGAACCGUCACAUCUGGGAGUUGUCUCCGGUUUUAGAAAGGUCUAUUGAUGUUCUUAUUUCCUGGUGAAGUAGGAUAUGUAAGACAGACAAAUUCCUGGGAAGCCUAGGUAAGAACCUGAGGUUCUUAAAAACUGAGGACAAGUUUCCUGAGCAGAGGAAGGAGAAUGAGAUAUGAAGAUAUGGUGGUGAUUUGCCGGGCUUUCAAGACUCUAGUUUGCUUAACCUUCCAAUCCACCAAGGAUCAUGGAGCUUCUUUAAGUCCGUAAGUGUCCUCAGGAUACCUCAACGCAUAUAAACACAGCCCAACUUGGACUGAGGUGCAAUAAUAAAAACGAACAUAUUCAUAACUUAUCUUUCUGUAACUCACCUGAACUUCAAGUGCCUCCUCGUAAUUUCCUAUACUACUUAGCUUCUCGAGUUUCAUAUCAUUUGCUUCACGAACGGUAUCUCUCCCAAGGUCUCUUAACCAAUCACGCAUCUGCAGUCGAGAGUCUUUUCUAAUUUUUAUUAGUCAUCUGCUGGAGAACUUGAACAGCUUCUUCAGAGAAGAGAUUACAGCUCUCCCACAUGUGACACAAUUCUUUUAUCAAACGCAAUGAAUAAUCGAGCAAUAUCUAAGAAUAUGUUUUCUGUCAAGAAUCUAAUGCCUCAAUCCUGAUCAUCAACUUCUUUUUAACAUCCUCAUGAGGAAAUUUUUCCAACCUUGUCAAUAUGGUAUUCAGCUUUGUUAUGGUUUUCCCCGACAAGAAUGAACCUGCAACCUCAAGUGCUAGAGGAAGACCAUCGGAAAUAUUCACCACUUGUAUUGAAACAAGGAUGUACCACUUUGAUGGAUAAUCUCUUCCAAAGGUGUGUCUGCUGAAACGUUGGAAAGAAUGAACAAAAUCCGUGCAAGUAAGUUCAUAAGUGCAAUCAACCAUAGUCGCACUGAGUACUCCCACGUUUCUUGUGGUAAAACCAAUCAUGCCUUGCCACGAGAGCGUGUAAGUGUAUUCUUAUGUCGACAUCAUCAGGAAGUAGAACUCUUCCGGAGGAUUACCUCUCCUUAAUUGUAUUUAUCCCUUCAUCACUAUUAUUGAUUUCUGACCAUUUCCAUACUAGAGAUGAGUUGAUUCUGCAAAUACUCUACACUCUUUUGCUUUGACGUUUCUCGAAUGUCAGCAAGGAAGCAAUGGCAAUUAAAACCAUCUCAAAAUUUAUUGUAGACAAUUUCGGCAAGUGUCAUCUUUCCAACACCACCCAUUCCAUAAAUUCUGAUCAUGCUUGUUUCAUUCGUGCGAGCGCCAAUCAUCCUCAUGACUUCAUUUACAUAACUAUCCACUGCAACCAAGAAAUCUGAUAUUACCAGUAGGCCUUUUUCAACUCCAUCAAAACCCCCAACCAAAAAACAAAAAACAAAAAAAAAAACUCAAUGAACUCCAUCAAAACCUUCCUGACAACUUCCUUUCAGAACUUACCUUCCCUCUGAUGGCGUUCAAUGCAAAAGAACCAAGAUGUUGAAAUGAGUUAAACAAAGUUCCUUCCAGGAAACAAACAAGUCAUAAGGGAUGAAUUUAGUUACCUUUUGGGAUUGUUUUGGAAGUCCCUUCCCUUUAUUGCUUUAACCUCAAUGAAAGCAGCCCUCCAAGUGUGGAGAGUCUCAUGAUCAAGCCGCUUCUUGUUUUCAUGAGAAUCAAAGGCUUUGUUGUAGAAGCCAGUUUGAUAUCAUACCCCUCAUGGUCCAACAUCAUAGAAAUUACGUCCUCUUCUUUUCCUGCACUCUGCCAUCUGCACCAAUUCGUUGAGGCACCAUUCACUGGCAGCAUAUCCCUUAGAGAAGAUGGGUAUCAAGGAUUUUUAACUGCUCCAUCGCUUGAAGAAGAAGCCCUUCAUCAUCUUUACAUACUCGAAUUCCAGCAUCGUUCAUGUUGGUAUUCAGGAAAUCAGGUAUGCCAGAGCAUAUCUGGAUCUCUAAAGCUGAAGAAUGCUUCUUAAUCAUAUUUUAUUGAUUUCCCCCUUUCCUGAAUAGUAAGGUGCAACAAUAGCACAUCAAUAUCUGAAAUUACAUAGUCGAUGGUCAUGAUGCGUCAUCAUAAUUAUCUUCUCUUCCUUUUUGGUACAUUUCUGUCACCAAGACUUACCCCAAGACAUUCAUACUGCACCUGAAAAUGUUAAAUACGUAGAUGCAGUGAUGAUCAGGCUAAUUUCUUUCAGAUGCCAAUGCAGAAAUCUAUUCUGGUAUAGAGAACCUCUUUGACAAAAGCAUAUUUUUUUUUCUUGGCAUUUUGUGCGAGCAAUUAGUAAAGCACAGCACCCUCUUUCUUUACGGGCCUCGUAACAGUGAAAGGGGUAAAAUGAAACCUAUAUAAAUGAUAUGUAACGAUUUUCUCUGGAAAGAUGAGCCAUUUCAACUACUCAGAUUUACUAUCCAGACUGCCCAUAUUAGUUUGUUAUAUAAAUGGAAAUACAGUCCUAUUCACUAAAAAGAUGCAAACACUAUUCUGAGUAAUGCUCCAAAUGGCCAAUGAAAUAAGAAAACAAAGAAAAGUGGAGCAACAUUAGUAGUCUGUUUAUUGUUUGACUUAUUUCUGUUUUGAUGCACUACUAAGUGUGAUUAUAAAAAAAAAUGACUUAUUACCUGAUGAUGACUCCUUUGAUUUCAAGUGACGAGGAAGUGGAGUUCUGCAAAAACAUUGUCGCUCAUUACAAAGUUGGAUUCUGAAGCAGAAAUAACAAAGACAUGAGACACUACUUAAUACAGAGGCCAAGAGUUCAACAAGAAGGAAUACGUAUUACUUGGUCCAUCUUAAAUUUUGGUCAAGGCUUCACAACUUUCUUAUCAGAAAGCACUGCUCAAAGAUUGCCUUCCUCCGCAUUCUUUUUCAUUUUAUGCAAUUGAACCUAUAAUUGCAGGUCAAAAGAGAUUAAUCAUAAGUGCAAUUUGCCGCAAAAAAUGUCCCAUCUUUCUGAGCGGCUUAAUUGAUUCUUACUAGGUCAUAGAAAGGAAGUGUGAAUCUACAUCACAGUUAUCUUCAUAACCUCCCUUCUUUGAUGUUAGCCACAUAUUUGACAGACAAAUUAUGUCAAAAGAACAACAUUCAACUAGAAAUUCCGUCAAACAACUCAAAAUCUGCAGGUUAGAUACCAUUUCUAGUUCCCAGAGGAGCUUGGAUUCAUCAUAAGGAAUUCUGCAGAAAGGCAGAAAACAAGGGAUUAUUGAUAGCCAACAUUCAGCUUUGCUAUCCAUAUAAACUCACAAAUCAGCAGACAAUUUAGCAUUAAUUAGCUCAGGUAAUAGUAGAGACACUAACAUUCAUUCAUGAGAGAAUAGGAAAGAAAUAACAGUAUGAUGGUUGACUUGCAACUGAUGGAAAAUCAGAGAUUGGUGUACUGAAGUUCGAAUAAAGUGAAUAAAAUCAAUGGCUUUCCUGUCUCUCUCAUGUGCUUAAAGUUCUCCAAGUUGGCUAUUAUCUCAUCUCUCCAUUUCUGUCCUUAAUUUCAUCUUCUUGAAUCACUAUGUACUAACUCAGAAGAGACUGUGUCAGGCUAUAACUAAAUCCCAUUAGCCAAAUGAAAUCAAAUAAUUCCAAUAUAACUAAUUUAAAGGUUACCUCGGAAACCAUCGAGGAUGUGUGGUGCCAGGCAACACGACGUCGAGAUUGUGCGACCUCUGCAACCACUGCCGAAGGGCUGGAUUUGGGUCGAUCGACCCUCAACCUCAACACACAGUGGCUCAGGCAAAGACAGCAGCUCGACAGUCAGUGCGGCCCAAGUGAGGGCCAUUAGGGCUUCUCGAUGCCAGGUGAGGUGACACCGAGGUUACGUGGCCUCCCCAACACCUGUAUAACUCCACAUUUCUUCCUUUUUUGUGAAAAAAAAAAAGGACAACUAGCCAAAAUGUUGACUGCUCUGCAUGUCUCAUUUGCUAAUGUCAAUGAUACACUGGCUUCACAGUUGCUUCCUCUCUUCAAUGCGUGGGCCAAAAAAUGGUUCAUUUUUCCCCCUUCCACGCUGAUCAACAACUCCAAAUAAUAUAUUGCUUUAAGAUCCUAAGAAGAAGAGAGAUUUGAAAACUGAUUGAUUCAUCAUGAAAUCUAAAGCAGUAAUCAUUACACUUUUCACAGAUCAAUUUGCUGGUUAAUUCCAAUCGGUAAAUAGACUCUCUCUUUGGCUGAUUCCUUGGCUCGACCUAUUUACUUCCUUGGCUCAGACUUGGUGACUUCCUUCAAAGUCCUCCAAUCAUCAGAUCCCAGCAAAUAUUUUAGCUUCUCACACUCAUGUAUCCUCAAAUAUUUUAGCUUCUUGACGCUUGAUGGAGCCGGUAGCUUUUCCAGAUCUCUGCAGAACUCUAUACGAAGUAUCUCCAGUGAUUCUAGUCUGCCUUGAAUCUCAACCAUUUUAGGACAAUUAUACAGUUCAAGUUUCGUGAGCUUGCUUAAGGUAGUGAGGUCAGGCAAUUUUUCCAGUGAUGUAACUCUAACAAACUUCAAUGAUCUCAGGUUCUCCAAGCCUUCGAGACCUUGAAUCUCUGUUAUUUCACAACUUGUAACUUCCAAAUCCGCUAGUACCCUCAAGUUUGAAAGGUCUAUCGAUGUCUUCAUUUGCCAACAACCUUUUAUAACUAAGCUCAACAAACUCGCAGGAAUCCUUGGAAGGCAUUUCACGUUUUCGCACCUGAGCUCAAGUUCCUUGAGUUCAGAAAGGAGAACGAGGUCUGGAGAUAGGGUGGUCAGGUAAGGAGAUUCCAGCCAUAUAGCCUCUAGUUUGUGUAACCUUCCAAUCCACCAAGGACUGGAAGUUUUCUCAAGUUCAGAAGGGUCCAUCCUAGAACUCCACAAGACCAAACUCAAAUCUCUUAAGUUCAAUAGGUUUGAGAGAUCUGGG
rnacentral:lncRNA from 1 species